UAAGAUUGUCCCCAUUUGGUCCUUUCAAACCGCUCGCUUCUCUCUCUCUCCUCACUCUCUCUUUCUCUAUCCUCCCACUCUCUCUCGCUCCGAGGGUUUGAGCUUGCAAAUCCUAAUUUGACCGACUUCUAUGGCAGUGCUCGGGGCGCCGAUCACACUCCGUUUGCGCAUUCUUCAGGUCGUAAUCUCCGGCUGACCGUGUCCGAUAAGAGGCGGUUCGUUUCGCCACCAUGUAUGAAGCACACGUAAGGCUCGUCGUUCAUUUCUUCCCCAUUUUUAUCGUUUACACCAUGAAUUUUAUUGUAUAAGCGCUCUGUUGAAUCUGUUUGAUCGGUUUAGCUUGUUUAAUUGUUGAAAUUUGGUGAAAGCCCUUUGAUUACUGGCUUUGUUGGAUUGGAAUAAUUGUAUCUGUGAUUUCUUUUUUCUGUUUUUCUGUUGUCAGGGAAGGUGUAAUGUGUGUAUCUAGUGUAUAUCUAAGUGAUUAUUCAUAGAGCUUAGUAUUUUGCACUUGAAAAUGAUCGCUAUGUGAAUUUAAAGACGUUACGAUGAAGAAACGGCUUCUUUAGAAUGUUUAAACCCUGAGGACUGUAAUAGGAACUGAUUGUUCUUCUGGUUAACAUACACUAGUGUGUGCAUGUGGAGAAUUUUGAUGGUUAGUGCUCGCUAACUGUGACAAUGGGUUGAGCAUUUCAUGAUUCGAGUGUCACAUACUCGCAACUCGGCUUUUUAUAGUUUGGUUAAAGAGCAUUACUCUCUCUAUCUAUGUCUUUGUGUAUGUGUGUGUAUAGAAAAUAUAUAAGUUGCUAGAGUAAGAAUAUUGAAAGUCGAAGGAACGGAAGGGUCGUAAACUUAGAAUCUAAAACUGGAUGUUUUUUGAGCUUAAAAUCCUUGUCAGAUUCUAGUUGAGACUGAAGAUGAUAUAUUAUGAAGGUUUUUCAUCAUUUAUAACGAAGCAAAAUUAUAAUUUUGGAUGACCUGUGUAACCUGCAUAACCCGUACAACGUUCAAUUAGUACAGCUAUCAGAGAUACUAUUAAUAAACCAGACUCAACUAGGCCAAGCAAGAAAUUCACGGACUGCUUAAGAAACAACAGUCUUCCAGUUCAUAUUCAGCAGAAGAAAGGGGUAUCUAUGAAAUCAUUUGAAACCAUAGGGCAUGGGAAGUCCCAAAUAAGACCAUAUCCCAUAAGGAAAUCACUUCCAACCGCUGUUGUCUCAAAUAGUCUGUAUUCCAAAGUCUCUGGUAGAUGAGAUGAAAAUCUUGUUUAUGCAUGUAGUUGUUCUUUCUCUAUAAUAAAGUUAUGUUUAUCAUAUGGAAGGGGAUUACGUUUAAACAUUAAUGGACAUGCAUGCUUGUUCGUAUGUAGUAGCUCUAGAUGAAAUGAUAACUUAUAAUGUUUUAUUGGUAGGUUCUGCAUUUGCUUCGAAGAUAUUUGGGCAAAUAUGUCCACGGACUCUCAGUUAAAGCGUUAAGAAUCAGUGUCUGGAAAGGUUUGUAUUAUGACUUAAGUGGUCAUUUCUCUGUAUUUUCUCGUCCUUCCUACCUAAGUUAUAAGAUUACUACAUUUUGCUGUAAUGUUUGUGAAACUUUUAAGCAGUAUGCUUACUGUAUUGGGAACAUGUACUCAAGUGCAGUGGUUUAUAGUGACUCACUGAUACUCUUAUAUAUCCUCAAAUUAACAGGUGAUGUUGUUCUCAAAGAUUUGAAGUUGAAGGCAGAGGCCUUAAAUUCACUGAAACUUCCAGUCACUGUGAAAGCUGGUUUUAUUGGUACCAUUACAUUAAAGGUAUCAAGUGGCUUAAAUACCUUCUCCCUGGCUGGGUUUUAGUUCUUAAUUACUGCUGAUAGUUAUGUCCACUUUUCUUUUCGAUGUUCUUAAUGUCGUCUUUCCUUGUAGGUUCCCUGGAAAAGUUUAGGCAAAGAACCUGUCAUUGUUCUCAUUGACCGUGUAUUCAUUCUUGCUUAUCCACUUACUGAUGGUCAGACUCUCAAGGUACGGUGAUGUCCUUAUAGUGGAAAAACUUUUAUUUCAAUUGCAUACUGCUGGAGGUGUAUUUUCUUAUGUAUUAAGAUUACCUUGUUUUACAUUACUAUCAUCAUUAAAUAAUUGAUUGUUACUAAUUUUGUUGUGUAGGAGGACAGGGAAAAACUAUUUGAAUCCAAACUUCAACAGAUUGAGGUAAAACUCAGUGUUGUCGAUGUAUGCUCUAUCUAUUUUUGAUUGAGGCUGCUAGUAUGGUUUUGAUGGACAUAUUUUUCGUCCCACCGGUAGUAGUUCUUUCAGAAGUGGGAUGUGUGUUUCCUAUAAAAAAAUGGGUAAAAGUAGUAAAGGAGAAGGUUUAUUGUGAGGAUUAGAAUUGGAAGAUCUUUGACAAUUGACUGUAUAGUAUAGACCUGUGACCGACUAUUGACUAGUUAACCUAAAAGGUAAAAGAACACACUAGGUGAAGAAAAAAAUAAUCAACUGAUUGAGAAAAUAAUGAUUGAAAAAGAAAAAUGCAUACCUAUGUCCUGCCUAGCGGGUUUUCUUAUACAUUUACAUUGAAAUUUAGUUGUGCUGUUAAUGUUCAUUGGUUAGGGUAUGCAAAUUUGUUUCUUAAAUAUUAUUUAUAGAUAGAUUUUUAUUUUUGCAGAGGAAAAAUUUUCAAAUGUACUUUCUGGUCAAAUAUUUAGAAAUUUUUUCAUAUAUUGCGUGCAGGAAACAGAGGCAGUAAUUCUUGAAGCAAUGUCGAAGUCAAAGCUAGGAAGUGUAUGAUACUUAAUUUUAUAAAUAUUACAUUACUAUAUUAGGCAUCUAUUUUUGGUUAAACUUGUUAUGCAUCCUUAACUCUUUUUUAGCAGCUGUCCUAGUACAUUAUGCCUUACUUAUAAUAGGCUUUUUGCCACAUAUUACUUGGAUCUGGCUUUUUUCAUUUUUCCUACAUGAAACACAAAACAUGGCCUUUUUUUGACUCAUGGAAUUUUUAGUGAGGCCACGUAGCUCAUAAUAGGCUUUUUGCAAAUCCACAAACAAGAUCAAUCUUGAUGGCAUGCACUUUUGAUUUGUUUUUCCCUUUUCAUAGCCAAAAGAUUGGUGAAAGUUAUGUUGAUUGGCUUUUUUUGGUUGAGAUAUAUGUUUAUGGAGUUGGGUAAUGUUGAAAUCUAUGAAAUAGAUAUCUCCCAUGAAAGUAGAGAUGGGAAGGAAAUCAGGUGGUGCUUGCUAGGAAAUUCACAUAUGUUUGACAUGAUGAAUUUGUUAAAUAUGUUACAAAUAAGCAUCUAACUCAAAAACUGAAGGCUUUAUGCGGGAAGUUCUUGUAACACUUUGCAUAAAAUCAAAGUAGUUUUUUUGUACUAACACCCGCUUACAUACAAACUGGAUUGAAUUAGCACCCCCUCAUUGUUUAUUAAGUGAAUAGACAGUGUAUUUCAUUCCCAUUCUUUGAUACAAAAUUUAGCAGUUCAGUUGACAGCUGACUAUUUUGCAGCCACCUCCUGGGAAUUCAUGGCUAGGUUCCCUCAUUGCUACUCUUAUCGGAAAUCUGAAGAUAUCAAUUAGCAACGUACAUGUUAGAUAUGAGGAUUCAAGCAGGUUGGUAACUUCCUUAGCUUCUUUUGAAGUUUGAAAUCUUCUAUUUGUUCUGUACCCAGUUUAUUUCUACUUUUUUGCUCUCCAGAUGUUAAAAUGUGUGCCCUCCUAUUGUUUUCUAGCAAUCCAGGACAUCCAUUUUGUUCGGGUGUUACUUUAGCCAAGCUGGCUGCUGUUACAAUGGAUGAGCAAGGGAAUGAAACAUUCGAUACCAGUGGUGCGCUUGAUAAGUUGCAGAAGGUUAGCCGUGUCUUUUAUUAUUUAGGAUCCUGGUUUUUACGAGAAUGCUCAUCUGUUGAGCACUAUCAUUUUAAUUUUCUGGACUGCUUUGAUCUUUGUCAAUGCUAAGCCAUCUAACAAAACAAGCAAGUCCGCAUACACAGGCCAACUAAAUAAACCAAAAAUCCGCAAUGACACUUUUGCACAAAUAAUAGAUCAAUGAAGACGAAUCACACUGUAUUGAACAUCCUUGAAAGGCUUAGACAACGAUGCCCUACUUUGUAGAAUUGCUUUCAUAAUUGUAACAAUGUCCUGUGUUUUGUGGUUUUCGUAUUUAUUUGUAUGUUUUAUGCUUUUACAUGUAAAUUUGAUAAUCUUAUGUUGAAUACAAACAAUCUCCUUGUGACAGUCCUUGCAACUUGAGAGACUUGCUAUGUAUCAUGAUUCUGAUAGUGUUCCUUGGAAGAUAGAUAAGGGAUGGGAAGAUCUCACUCCUGAGGAAUGGAUUCAGGUUUGUUCUUAUGCUGCUGUAUUACUAGCCCCUGUACUCUGCUAUAUUAAAGCAUCUACUUUUGGUAAUGUUGUCUCGCCUAACCAAAUCUAUAUACUGCCUAAAAGUUCUGCUAACUUUUCUUUGUAUCAAUAUGUACUAGAUCUUUGAAGAUGGUAUAGAUGAACCUGCUGAUGACAGUGGAAUGGUGUCUAAGUGGGCUGUGAAUCGCAAGUAUUUGGUGUCACCUAUAAAUGGAGUUUUAAAAUAUCACCGCAUUGGAAAUCAAGACAGAAAUGAUCCAGAGGUUCCGUUUGAGAAGGCUUCCCUUGUGCUGAGUGAUGUUUCUUUGACAAUAACUGAGGUGCACAAUGUUUUUCCCUUUAAAAUGUCUUAUUUUCCGGUAUUAUUUUAUUCACCCUCUCUCCUGUUCUGCCAUUGGGAAACAAAUAUUUAUAUUUAUAUUUUUAAUUCAUGGUGGGAGUUAAGAAAAUGCAAUAAGAUUUCGUUGGAGGAUCUCUUUCAUGUUGUAGUAACCCCUGUAUUCCUCGCGCCCUCGCUUCUUCCUCUCUCAAUGUUUUCUUCUAAUAUGUAAGUAUCGAGUAAAAUUGCUUUUCUCAGCUCUCGGAGGAAAGUUAGAGGUGUUAGUUUUCUCUUUUCUGCAACCCAUAAAAUUUGUUCUUUUUUGUACUUUCUUGGUGUGCAGCUGGAGUGCUAUGACUCAUUUCUACUGGUUUUUUUUUCAGGCCCAAUAUUAUGAUUGGAUAAAACUAUUAGAAGUUGUUUCAAGAUACAAGACUUAUGUUGAUGUUUCCCAUCUGAGACCUUUGGUGCCAGUUUCCGAGGGUCCAUAUUUGUGGUGGCGCUAUGCUGCUCAAGCAACCCUGCAGCAGAAGAAAAUGUGGUAAUAUAUAUAUUGAUAGAGAAAAUGUAUCUAUAUACUCUUUUAUGGUCUGUUUGUAGCCUGUUUACGGCCUGGUAGAUUGUCUUAAUUCAAGGGUUUUUUGUCAGCUUCUCAUUUUUACAAUAUGCCUUUAAAUUUUAUAAACAAAAAAUACUGGAAUUGAGUUGAGGGUGGUAUUUAACUUUUCAAAUAUUUGGUGAAACUUCUCACAACAUUCUUUUGGGAUGUAUACUUUUAUGAAUUUCCCAUGUUGGUUCUGACUUCACACUUGUUUUCCUGAAUCAGUUACCGAUUCUCUUGGGACCGCAUUCGAGAUCUUUGUCAGCUUCGCCGCCGUUACAUUCAGUUGUAUGCUGGUUCACUGCAACACUCAUCAAACGUUAAUAAUGCAAAAAUUAGAGAAAUUGAGAAAGAUCUGGAUUCUAAAGUAAUUCUUUUGUGGAGGUAAAUGUUUUAUUGACCUUUUGACUUCAUUGCUAUUUAUUAAAAUUGAUUGUAGAUUUUAGGGAAUGCAUAAAUUCCAUAUUAACCUUGGCCUUACACCUCAUAGUUGUUAUUUCGGGUUCAAAGGAACCAUAGUUAAAUUUGGAUUGGAUUUGGAUUCUAUUAUUUAUGUUAAGUGUAUGGAUUAGCAAUUUAAACCCAUUUGAUAUGUUUCAUAUGAAAUUUGCAAAGUGAUUAGCUUUCAUUCUUUGGAGGCAAUCUAUCUCUUACGAAGAUUGAUGGAAAGAUAUAGAGAUGGGAAAAAGGAUUUACACAUGGUCUUUAUAGAUUUGGAAAAAGCGUAUGAUAGGGUCCCAAGAGACAUUCUUUGGAGGAUCUUAGAGAAGAAAGGAGUACGAGUAGCAUAUAUCCAAGCUAUAAAGGAUAUGUAUGAAGGAGCAAAGACUGCCGUAAGAACUCAUGAAGGACAAACCGAAAGCUUUCCCAUAACUGUAGGAUUACAUCAAGGCUCAUCCUUAAGUCCUUACCUUUUUGCGUUGGUAAUGGAUGAGUUAACAGGACAUAUUCAAGAUGAUAUUCCUUGGUGUAUGCUUUUCGCAGACGAUAUAGUGUUGAUAGAUGAAACUCAGGAAGGGGUAAAUGCAAAGCUUAACCUUUGGAGAGAAGUGUUGGAAUCUAAAGGUCUUCGUCUAAGCCGAUCAAAGACAGAAUAUAUGGAGUGCAAGUUCAGUGCAGAUGGAGGCCAAAACGAGUUAGGGGUGAGGAUCGGAGAUCAAGAAAUACCAAAGAGCGACCGUUUUCGUUACCUAGGAUCUAUCUUGCAAAAGAACGGAGAAUUAGAUGGAGAUCUCAACCAUAGAAUACAAGCUGGAUGGAUGAAGUGGAAGAGUGCAUCUGGCGUGUUGUGUGAUCGCCGUAUGCCACUGAAGCUCAAGGGAAAAUUUUAUAGGACGGCAAUAAGGCCGGCGAUGCUGUAUGGCACAGAAUGUUGGGCGGUGAAGCAUCAACACGUACACAAAAUGGGUGUAGCGGAGAUGAGGAUGCUUCGUUGGAUGUGUGGGCACACGAGAAAGGAUAAGAUUAGGAAUGAGGAUAUCCGGGGUAAAGUAGGAGUAGCCGAAAUUGAAGGAAAGAUGAGAGAAAAUCGGUUACGGUGGUUUGGACAUGUGCAAAGAAGGCCUACUGACGCUCCGAUUAGAAGAUGCGACUAUGGGACAGAGGUUCAGGGCCGAAGGGGUAGAGGAAGACCUAGGAAAACUUUGGAAGAGACUCUAAGAAAAGACUUAGAGUACUUGGAUCUAACGAAGGACAUGACACAGGACCGAGCACAAUGGCGUUCUAAGAUUCAUAUAGCCGAUCCCACUCAGUGACUUGGAUUUUCCAAGUCUCCAACCGAGAAGUUUUCCUCACUCGGGAAAUUAAGGGAACACUACCCCAACCUACAUGCUCCACUCAGAAAGCUUCAACAUACAAGCUUCAACAAAAGAAAAUUCAAAGAACUUAGCGAAGAAGGCUUUGGUGUAUUUAACACAAUACGUUGAAAUGAAGGAAAACUUAUUUAUUGAUAUCCCCGAUAAGCUACAAAUAUGUACAUAUACAUGAGUCAAAAUAAACAAACAAGAUGGAGCCUUCACAAAGGUUGCUUAGGAGAAGUCUCAGCAGUCGGUAGAGCCCCAGAAAGAGAAGGCAUCGGAGGGGGAUCAUUCGGAGCCUCAGUACUGGACAGAACCCUAGAAGGAGGAGGCAUCAGAGGUUGAUCAUUUGGAGCUUCAUUACGCGGUACAGCCCCAGAAGACGAAGGCAAUAAAUGCCUUUGGAACAAACCCACAAAUCUCUGAUGAUCAAGUAAAACCUGACCAUCAGUUUCCUUCAUCUGGUCAAGCUUCCUCUUCAUGUUUGUAGCAUAGUCAUGUGCGAGCCGGUGCAACUGUUUAUUCUCAUGCUUGAGCCCUCUAAUCUCCUGUUUGAGACUCAUCACUUCGGCCGCCAAUGAUUCAACUUGGCGGGUUCGAGCAAAUAGGCGUUGGGCCAUAUUAGACACAGAACCUGCACACUGAACACUGAGAGCCAGUGAAUCCUUAACAGCUAACUCAUCAGACCGUUUGGAAAGUAGUCUGUUAUCUUUGGGAGUGAGAAGGUUCCUGGCCACCACCGCAGCGGUCAUAUCAUUCUUCAUCACGGAAUCCCCAACGGUAAGAGGACCAGUAGGGGAGACGAAGGAUGGGCGCCAUAUGUUGUCUGGAGAAGGCGGGGCUACCUCUUCAACAAGGUUCAAGUCAAAACGACGGUCGGAGGGGCCAGACAUUUUCAAAGGUAUUGAAGAGAGAAGAGGUCGGACAAAUCAAGAUCUUAGAAGUGCAAGAAUGGAGCUUCUACUGGUGGAGAUUCAAGUGUGCUUUGGAACUUAAUGCCAGCCCCUAUAAAAAGCUGCACUCGACGGAGCUUCAGACAUCGAAGAGGCGCCUACUCAGAAAUCGAAAAGGCGUUUGCUUUCUCAAAAGCUGGGCUGCUUAGAGACCACGAGGGUUGAUCUCAUAAAUCGAAGAGGUGUUUGCUUUCUCAAAAGUUGGGCUGCUCAAAGACCACGAAAGCCGAUCUUAGAAAUCGAAGAGGCGCUCGCUUCCUCAAAAGCUGGGCUCCUCAGAGACCACGAGGGCCGAUCUCAGAAAUCGAAGAGGCACCUACUUUUCCAGCCUUGUCAGCACCUGUCACACGCACACUCAGCUUUGCGGAAAUUAUGGGUAUUCUGUCGAAGACUUCUGGGGAAGUAGAAAACACAUGAAUCUUACUGUCCAAUCACCCACUUCCCACACGCAGCAAUAGCUCAUGGGUACCACAGAUAACUUUGCCAAAGUUCUCUGCCAAAGUUGAGCACGUGAAGCUUGCAGCUCCCACUACAUCGCUCUGACCAAGAAGGGUAAAAGAAUAGCAAAGAAACAGCACUAACAAAGUUUAGACCCAUAAAUUUUGAAGGUCUAGCUACCAUAUUAUUACCCACAAGGGUAAAGGAACAGUACCACUGUUGGAUAAUUGGAAAGUCCCUGUGUGUCAACCUCUGUGCCUCGUGGCAAGGUAGACUAGCAAACAUGCCCAACCUUUACUCACAUUCGAGAAAACACUCCCAAUAAGAUUGCUUGCUCCAAAAUCGAAGAGGCACCGUCCUCCGAAUCUCGAGAGCCAGACUCCCAACAUGACUACUUUUUCUCAAAAAUCGAAGAGAGGGUAAAGGAACAGUACCAUUGCUGGAUAAUUGGAAAAGUCCCUGUGUGUCAACCUCUGUGCUUCGUGGCAAGGUAGAUUAGCAAACAUGCCCAACCUUUACUCACAUUCGAGAAAACACUCCCAACAAGAUUGCUUGCUCCAAAAAUCGAAGAGGCACCGCCCUCCGAAUCUCGAGAGCCAGACUCCCAACAUGAUUACUUUCUCAAAAAUCGAAGAGACACUGCUCCCCGAAUCUCGAGAGCCAGACCCCCAGCAUGAUUGCUUUCUUAAAAAUCGAAGAGGCAUCGUUCUCCGAAUCAAUCGAAGAGGCGCUCGCUUUCUCAAAAGCUGGGCUGCUCAGAGACCACGAGGGCCGAUCUCAGAAAUCGAAGAGGCACCUUCUUUUCUAGCCUUGUCAGCACCUGUCACACGCACACUUAGCUUUGCGGAAAUUAUGGGCAUUCUGUCGAAGACUUUUGGUGAAGUAGAAAGCACAUGAAUCUUACUGUUCAAUCACCCACUUCCCACACGCAACAAUAGCUCAUGGGUACCACAGAUAACUUUGUCAAAGUCUCUGCCAAAGUUGAGCACGUGAAGCUUGCAGCUCCCACUACAUCGCUCUGACCAAGAAAGGUAAAAGAAUAGCAAAGAAACAGCACUAACAAAGUUUAGACACAUAAAUUUUGAAGGUCUAGCUACCAUAUUAUUACCCACAAGGGUAAAGGAACAGUACCACUGCUGGAUAAUUGGAAAGUCCCUGUGUGUCAACCUCCGUGCUUCGUGGCAAGGUAGACUAGCAAACAUGCCCAACCUUUACUCACAUCCGAGAAAACACUCCCAACAAGAUUGCUUACUCCAAAAUCAAAGAGGCAGCAAUCUUCUUUCUUUCUUUCUCAAAAAUGUCUUUCUGAAGAGCCGUGAAUCUCGACCAGAUUUACUUAAAGCACAUUCUCGUUCUCAAGACCACGAGAGCAACAGAGGCACUAACUCAUGUCAGCAAACAGCUUCUAGAAAUCAAUCAUGCUCCCAUAUCGCCAAAGCUCAGUCACUGAAAUCAAAACAGCCUGGAACCCCUUACCUGAUUACUUACCUGGCAUUGCUCUCGAGUACUCAUCUUCAACAUCUUAUGUUGCCAGGGAAGAUACCGCAUCUGCUUGAGGAACAGAUAGGGCAAGUGCGAAGGAUACAAGGAAGCAUGUGGAGACAAGCGUAACAGCACACGUGCCGAUCCAUCCAUUACUCUGUCAAAAGCAAAAGUAUCCCAUAUCAGCAGGGUCGAACGUACUCUAGAUUUGAUGGACUUGUUUUUGACCCUCAAAUUCUUCAGUCGGCCUUAUACUCUGGAGGAAACCAGAAAACCCUCCAGCUCAGUUCAAGAAUAAGCCUGUGGAAAGUUACUUCUUCAAAAGCAAAAGUAUCCCAUAUCAUCUCUUCUCAUUUUUUUUCUCUUUAUCCUUCAUGCUGCUGCAAGAUGGGGAGAAGGUGAACAAUCAGCCGGAGCUCUGAUUGCUUACCUUGUCUGUCACCUCUUUCAGCAAAUCCCCUAGCUCGGCGACUUGGGGGACUCCUACUACAUGGUUUGUAUCGCGCUUGACCAAGCCUGAAACUACAAGUAAGCUUCAAGUGAAAUUGAUACAUUACCUUGUGCAUCUCCACCAGUUAAAGAUACCACCCCUGGAUGGAGGAAGAGUACUUCCAGAGAAGCUGCUACAUCUACCUAUGAGACAGAUAAGGCAAGUCAAGAUGAUACCACACUCCGAUACUUAGAAGUUUCGUGAUUACGAGAUCAUUCUCCCACAAUAUUUCCUAAUGUCAUUUGUACUUUAAUGUCAUUUGUACUAAAUCAUUCACUUGUACUCACUAAAGGAGAGCUUGAACCUAUGUACUUGUGUAAACCCUUCACAAUUAAUGAGAACUCUUCUAUUCCGUGGACGUAGCCAAUCUGGGUGAACCACGUACAUCUUGUGUUUGCUUUCCUAUCUCUAUCCAUUUAUAUUCUUAUCCACACUAAUGACCGGAGCAAUUUAGCGAAGAUCACAAAAAGCGACCGUUUUCGCUACCUAGGAUCUAUCUUACAAGAGAACGGAGAAUUAGAUGGAGAUCUCAACCAUAGAAUACGAGCUGGAUGGAUGAAGUGUAAGAGUGCAUCCAGCAUUGUUGUGUGACCGUCGUAGGCCACUGAAGCUCAGGGGAAAAUUUUAUAAAGACGGCAAUAAGGCCAGCGAUGUUGUAUGGCACAGAAUGUUGGGCGGUGAAACAUCAACACGUACACAAAAUGGGUGUAGCAGAGAUGAGGAUGCUUCGUGGGAUGUGUGGGCACACGAGAAAGGAUAAGAUUGAGAAUGAGGAUAUCCGAGGUAAAGUAGGAGUAGCCGAAAUUGAAGGAAAGAUGAGAGAAAAUCGGUUCCGGUGAUUUGGACAUGUGCAAAGAAGGCCGACUGACGCUCCGGUUCGAAGAUGUGACUACGGGACAGAGGUUCAGGGCCGAAGGGGUAGAGGAAGACCUAGGAAAAUUUUGGAAGAGACUCUAAGAAAAGGCUUAGAGUACUUGGAUCUAACGGAGGACAUGACACAAAACCGAGCGCAAUGGCGUUCUAGGAUUCAUAUAGCCGACCCCACUUAGUGGGAAAAGGCUUUGUUGUUGUUGUUGUUGUUUGUUGAUUAGCUUUCAUUCCCUUAAAUUGUUGGAAUAAAAUGCCAAAACAAUAAGAUUAUUAUGUUCAAUUAAACUUGGAAUUUAGUCUUGGAAUCCGUGAGGAAUUACUUAUAUUUGUCACUUUAAAUUAGUUAAACUCGAGAAGAUAUUGAAUUUUUCCUUUAAUCCAAAUGUUACCAUUGAAUGUCAGUGUAGGUUUGAAUUUUGUCUUGCGCUUUUUUAUGUAUUCCAAUAUUUGUGAAUCUUGCUUCUCCUUUAUCUUAUGCUGAAGUACUUUACUUGACCAUAGAAUGUGCAAUUUAAACAACUUUACUUUCCAUGGAGGGUGUGCUAAAGAGGCACAAGAAGAAUUCCUAAGGAUUUAUAUAAAAUUUUAGCAUGUCUACAUAUUUGGGGUAUUUAUUUUCUGGGCUUGCUUGCUGAAGAGACCGCUUACCCUGUUCUUGUAACACUUCUUCGUUAAUAAAUACUAUAAAGGUACAUUCAAUAUAUGAUAUUGUGCUCAUUUGAUGUUGUGCAUGUAUCCUUUAGGUUACUUGCACAUGCAAAGGUAGAAUCUGUUAAAUCUAAGGAAGCAGCUGAACAGAGGUCAUUCCAGAAGAAAAGCUGGUUUUCAUUUAUGUGGUUAGUCAGGACUCCGAACUGCUCCAUUGCAAUUUCUGUGUUCUGUGAUUUUUUGUUUCUGGGUCACGUGCUGUGCUUAAAUUAUUUUGACCUCUAUUUUUGUGAAAGCUCUGCCUGUAGUUUUAUGUAUGUACACCUUCCAAUUUGUGUAGUGCCACUUUUUUUUCCCUCAGGCAUACACCUGCUGAAGAUUCUGCCAUUGUGGAUGCUUCUGAGGGAUCACAGUUAACAGAAGAAAGACUGACUAAAGAGGAAUGGCAGGCAAUCAAUAAGUUAUUGAGUUAUCAGCCAGAUGAAGCAGUGACAGCACAUUCAGGAAAAGACAUGCAGAAUAUGAUCCUGUUUUUGGUAACUGUGUCUGUUGGUCAAGCAGCUGCUAGGAUCAUUGAUAUAAAUCAAACAGAGGUUGUGUGUUGUAGAUUUGAGCAACUUCAAGUCUCAACCAAAUUUAAACAUCGAAGUACCUACUGUGAUGUUUCCUUGAAAUUCUAUGGUUUGUCUGCGCCUGAAGGCUCACUUGCCCAGGUUUGUUUCCAUAUAAAUGUCAGAAUUUGAUUUAGCAGUAACAGGUUUUAAGUUGGCUAGGGGAGAAUGUUAAUGUGAAUUGUAACUGUUUUGAUGUCAAUAUUUUCUGAAUUUAGUGAAUUUCUAUAAUUUGGAGUGGUUUUAAUUUUUUUUUAACAGUACUUAAUCUCCGCCCUCCCCUCUCUCUACUGUUCUUACUGUGAAUUUCUGAUAUUAAUCUGACACGGAAUCAAAAUGAUGCUAUGUUGCGCCGCUGCAUCUUGUUUUUAAGUUACUCAUCUUUUCUUCCCAUCCUUUUUUCUUUUGGCAGAGUGUCUGUAGCGAGAAGAAGGUGAAUGCACUAGCCGCUAGCUUUGUACACUCUCCAGUUGGAGAGAAUGUUGACUGGAGGCUGUCAGCUACAAUUUCUCCCUGCCACGUCACGGUCAUUGUCCAAUCUUUGAAUAUAUAUACACGCACAAACACAUAUAUGUAUGUAUGUAUGUAUGUAUGUAUAUAUAUAUAUAUAGAGAGAGAGAGAGAGAGAGAGAGAGAGAGAGAGAGAGAGAGAGAGAGAGAGAGAGACCGAGACGGAGACGGAGAGACGGAGACGGAGACGGAGAGAGACAGAGACAGAGAGACGGAGACAGAGACAGAGACAGACAGAGACAGACAGAGAGAAAUCCCCAAGCGUUUGUUUGUUCUUUGUAUUUUGCGUUGGUCUUCUUGACCAACUUCCUUGUUUUCCUCUCUUAAUACAAUCGUCUCUUUAUCAAAAAAAAAAAAAAAAAAAAAAAGAAGAAGAAAAAGACAAGAAGAGAGAGAGAGAAACCUAGUUCAAAUUACUAUCAUCUUGAAGUGGUUACGUGUAUGGAUCCCUAAGGCUCAGUUUUGAUUUUCUUUGUAUUCUUUCCCUCUUUCUUUUGUUCACCAUUCUUUUUACAUGGAGCUUCCUGAAUCUUUUCUCGUUGCAGGUUUUGAUGGAAAGCUUUCAUCGAUUUUUAGAAUUUGUGAAAAGGAGUAAUGCAGUUAGUCCUACUGUCACGUUGGAAACUGCAACUGCUUUGCAGGUAAUGAUAUUGUCAUUGUUAGUCUUUUUUAAUGUGAUGUAUUUAAUACAACAUUAUACUCGUUCACUAAUCUUUUAUCUUUCAUUUCUAUGAGCAGAUGAAAAUCGAGCAAGUAACUCGUAGAGCACAGGAGCAAUUUCAAAUGGUAUUAGAAGAACAAAGCAGGUUAAUAUACAUUAUCGCUUAAUUCUUAUUUCACUUAGUAAUAUAUACCUCUUUUUGUUCAGCUUUAUAUGCUAAAUAUCAUUGCUUUUCUAUGCUAUUUUUUUAAUACUCUGUAUAGAGUAAAGCAACUGAGUUUUUUUCUACAUUGCUCUUAUGUUUACUGAUCCUGUUUCAGAUUUGCUCUUGAUAUUGACUUAGAUGCUCCAAAAGUAAGAGUUCCUAUAAAAACUUGUGGCUUUUCCAAAUGUGAUAGCCAUUUUCUUUUGGAUUUUGGUCAUUUCACGCUGCACACCAAGGUAUGCCUUUUUUUCUAAUUACAUUUCCAAAUUGUGCCUGAUUGAUUUACAUUACCUGAAAUGAUAAGUUAAUUGUUGCAGGAUGGUCAGCACGACGAACAGAGGCAGAACAUAUAUUCUCAGUUUUUUAUAACUGGAAGAGAUAUUGCUGCCUGUUUUAUGGAUUGUGGUUCUGACUGUCAAAGUUGCAGUUUGGAUGUAGCAGAUUAUGAUAAUCACCCACUUUUAUCUCCUACCCCAGACAAUGUUGAGAAUUGCUAUUCUCUCAUAGAUAGGUGUGGAAUGGCUGUACUUGUUGAUCAAGUAAUUUGCCAUAUUUCUCUCCUGCUUGUUAAUUUUUAUAUUGUUUGGUGUACAAGUUUUACUCUGGUUCAUUAUUAUUAGAUUGUUGCUAAUCAUACCUAUGCAUCUUUGAAUUGAAGAUCAAAGUGCCCCACCCUAGUUACCCGUCAAUGCGCAUCUCAAUUCAAGUGCCAAACCUUGGGAUUCACUUUUCACCAUCGAGAUUCCAGAGGCUCAUGAAAUUGUUAAACAUAUUUACAUUGGAAACUUGCAGUCUGCUUGCUCUCGAUGUUUUUCAGGCAGAAAUUCCUUGGAGUCUGGCAGAUCUUUCUGCAGAAGCUAGAAUUUUGACAUGGAGGGUAUGUUGUCGUUCGAAAGAGAAAGUUGGUAGCGUUAUUCGUAUUUCAGUGUCUGAUGUUAUUUUUCCAAUUCAGGGGAUUGGCAAUUCUGUGGCUACCUGGCAACCAUGUUAUCUCGUGUUGUUGGGAAUAAAUCUUUAUGUGCUGGAGUCUGAAAAGUCGCAGAGUUACCUGCGAUACUCAAGGUUGCUUCACUCUCUCUCUCUAGGUGAAUUUUAGUACAGAGGUAGUAUACAUUAGAAAUACCAGAAAGUUACUGCCUCCUUGAUAGAUGGUAAUAAAAAAGGGAAAAUGAGACUAGUCAAUAAUUGGACCAGAUUCCUGCAUUUUCUGCUUUGCUGUUGUGGAUAACAGAACAUCACGAAUUUUUUGCAAUCCUUCUGCAUACAACCCAAUCAACCUUCCAAAUGCUGGACCAGGGGAAGGAAAUAGGCAUCCCACCCCUUAAAACCUUGUAAUAAGGUAACAUUAAUAAUAUUCCCUUGGCCAGGGAGCUACUACAACUUAUCAGCAUCCGUCCUUCUUAUGCUUACAGAGUAUAAGUAAUCCAAAAAUGUAUAAACUGGCUAUAGUUCCCAGCCAUGGGCCAAAAUAUUAAUGGUCGGAGGCCACUAAAUCCUCCAUUUGACUGAGUACCAAAUCAUAUAAUUGGCGACAGGAUAAAGCUCUGGAGGAGGUCCUUCAAGGCGUACUGCUCCAUUGAUUGUGCCAAACCUAAAUCUGCACCCUUCACCCACGUCAGUACCAUAACAUGGGAAGUGGUCCACCUAGACUUCUUCCCAAUUAUCUUACAUACUGUAUAAGGCUCCAUCACCUCAUUUGUACGCUGCUAACCCCAUCCAAGCGCAUUUACUGCACAUAUAGCUUUUCCUACCCUCUGCCCUACAGUUUGGUUUCUUUUUGAGCAAUAUGAAAUUUUUUGGUUGUGCAUUUCUUUUGCUUUUAUCUCCUGCAGUCAAAUGUUUUAUGCUACUAACUGAAAAUUUCUAAAUUUGGAUGCUACAGCAUGGCUGGUAGACAAGUAUACGAGGUUCCCCCAGAAAACAUUGGUGGUUCACUGUUUUGUCUUGCUGUAAGUUACAAGGGAAUGGACAAUCAAAAGGUAUGUCAAAGUUGGUGGAAGUGAUAGUUUACUAUCUGAAGCACAAACAGUUGAAUUUGAAUAUUUAUGUCUGUGCUUUCGUCUUGACGUCUGAAUUAUGGGAUUGUGGAAGAAUAUAUAGUUAUGUUUAUGUUUAUUUUGUUCAAGCUUUGCUUGGAGCUCGGCAUAUCUUUCCUUAUUCAAAUAUCAUACAUGUUAUGGAUUUAUAUUUCUUUCCAGGCUUUGGAGUCUCCUACUACAUUGAUUAUAGAGUUUCGGGCUGAGGACGAGAAUGCCAUUUGGUUGAAAGGGCUUAUACAAGCUACAUAUCAAGCUUCUGUAUGAUAUAAGAUCUCUCUCAUAGCUUAAAACUCCUAUUUACUUAUCUCCUUGGUGAUAUCUAAAAGUUUGUAUUUAUUUUGCCUUUAGGCUCCUCCAUCAGUUAAUGUAUUGGAAGAAACAAGCAAUCCCGUUACUGACUAUCGUGAACCCCAGACUCCAAAUUCAAAAACAGCUAACCUUGUUAUUAAUGGGGCACUGGUUGAGACAAAGAUAUUCAUAUAUGGAAAGGUUGGUUUUUCUUUUGGUAGAUUCAUCGUGUCAAAUUAUCUACAGUGUCUUGCUUCCCAUCAUUUUGUUGAGAAUAUCGCGUUUAAGAAUGGGAAAAACAAGAACAAACUCCGGAAAUCGAAAAACAAAUAACCAAGAUUAAUAACAUCAAGAAUUUACGUGGUUCGGCAAUAUGUGCCUACAUCCAUGGGACAACAACAACAAUCUUUCACUAUAUCAAUAAUGAGUACAACCAAUAAUCUUGCCAAAUCUCUAGAACUAGGACUUGACGAAAAACCUGAAAGAACAAGAAUAGGAAAUACACCAUCUCUUUUCUUUUCUCUCGCACACACUUUACAAAUAUUCUCUCCCUUUAAUCCCUUGAGUGGUAUACAAUUUAUUGUUUUGCUCCCCUCCUCAAAACUAGUACAAUAGCCCCUUUAUAUAGACAUAAUAAAGGUCUUCUUCAAUAAGGAUUAUUAAUCCUAAUUGGAAUCUAGUUAUGAAUCCUACUCCAAUUGAGAAACUAACUCCAAUUGGGUAAACAACUCCAAUUGGGAAAACAAUUCCAAUUGGGAAAACAAUUUAAUACUCUAAGACUAUAAUUCCUUAUAGAUGUAGGACAACUUAUCAUGGGCUGGAAAAAACCCAACACAUUUUUGGUUAUUUUGGGAAAUGAUUAGCCACCUAUAGGGCUUACUGCUUAUAUGAAGAACCACAACAACAACAACAAAGCCUUUUCCCACUAAGUGGUGUCGGCUCUAGGAAUCCUAGAACGCCAUUGCGCUUGGUUCUGUGUCAUGUCUUCCGUUAGAUCCAAGUACUCCCAAGUCUUUUCUUAGAAUCUCUUCAAAAGUCUUCCUAGGUCUUCCUCUACCCUUUUGGCCCUGAACCUCUGUCUCGUAAUUGCAUCUUCUAACUAGAGCGUUAGUAGGCCUUCGUUUCACAUGUCCAAACCGCCGUAACCGAUUCUCUCUCAUCUUUCCAUCAAUUUCAGCUACUCCUACUUUACCUAGGAUAUCCUCAUUCCUAAUCUUAUCCUUUCUCGUGUGCCUACACAUCCAACGAAGCAUUCUCAUCUCCGCUACACUCAUUUUAUGUACAUAUUGAUGCUUCACCAUCCAACGUUCCGUGCCAUAAAGCAUUGCUGGUCGUAUUGCCUUCCUAUAAAAUUUUCCCUUGAGCUUUAGUGGCAUAUGACGGUCACACAACACACCCAAUGCACUCUUCCACUUCAUCCAUCCAACUUGUAUUCUAUGGUUGAGGUCUUCAUCCAACUCCCCGUUCUUUUGCAAGAUAGAUCCUAGGUAGCGAACUUUGGUAUUUCUUGAUCUCCAUUCCUCACCCCUAACUCAUUUGAGCCUGUAUUCACACUGAACUUGCACUCCAUAUACUUUGUCUUUGACUGACUUAGGCGAAGAUCUUUAGAUUCCAACACUUCUCUCCAAAGGUUAAGCUUCGCAUUUACUUCUCAUGAGUUUCAUCGAACAACACUAUAUCGUCUGCGCAUCGAACAACACUAUAUUGUCUGCGAAAAGCAUACACCAAGGAAUAUUAUCUUGAAUAUGUCCCGUUAACUCAUCCAUUACCAAUACAAAAAGGUAAGGACUUAAAGAUGAGUCUUGAUAUAACCCUACCGUUAUGGGGAAGCUUUUGGUUUGUCCUUCAUGAGUUCUUACGGCAAUCCUUGCUCCAUCAUACAUUUCCUUUAUAGCUUGGAUAUGUGCUACUCGUACUCCUUUCUUCUCUAAAAUCCUCCAAAGAAUGUCUCUUGAGACCCUGUUAUACACUUUUUCCAAAUCUAUAAAGUCCAUGUGCAAAUCCUUUUUCAUAUCUCUAUAUCUUUCCAUCGAUCUUCGUAAGAGAUAGAUUGCCUCCAUGGUUGAGCGCCCUGGCAUGAACCCGAAUUUGUUGUCUGAGACCUGCACUUAUAUGAAGAAUAAAAUGGAAAAGACUUACAAGGCUAAUGAUUAACCAAAUCUGACAGUGUUCUUUUCCUACGAUAUUGUGCAGACUGCUGAUAAAGUUGAUGAAGAACAUGGUGAGGCUCUUAUUCUUGAGGUUCUUGCCAAUGGUGGAAAGGUUUGUCGCUAGUUUACUUCAUUUGUGAUUUUAUUAAGGGUGAAUGUGGAAUUAUAUGAGAUUUGUAAAGUAAAAAGUCAAAUGCGAUUGUUGACCCUGUUCAUCUUUGUUGUUGUAUUUGUGUGUUUGACGACUUGUGUAUUUACCCUAUAUUAGUUGAAUUGAUGGGGAGAGUAGCAUCAGAAUAAUUGGGCUAUUGGCGGGGAAGAUGUUUCCAUGUUUGAAACAUAUUCCAUAUUUCAUUGUUGUCGGUGUAUCAGAUUUGAUAUAGUUGAUAUUUCUGUAUUAGAUUUCUUGGGGUUGUGGUAUAUUGGAACAUACUGUAACAAGUGUUCUUCUACAUUAUCCUCUAGUUUGUUUGUUAUCCCCACUAUCUUCUUGUUAUCAUGUUGAAGUGUUCUUAGCUCGUUGUCAUGCGCAAGUGUUUUGGUAUUAAAUCCUAUGCCAUUUUGUUUUACAGUUACACAUGAUUCGCUGGGAAGGUGACCUGACACUUAAGAUGAAACUGCACUCUUUAAAAGUCAAAGAUGAGCUUCAAGUUCAUCUGUCAACGGCCCCCCAGUAUUUAGCUUGCUCUGUGCUAAACAAUGACAAUCGAGUUUCUUCUCCUGGCAUAGUUGAUCCACACACGAGAGAAAUGUCUGCUUUGCUUGAUGGGGAUGAUGAUACUUUUACAGAUGCUUUGCCAGAUUUUACGUCUAUCUCAGAUACAGGCUUAGGUUCACAAAUAAUGGAUAUGGAUGCAUGUGCAACCACUGAGGACAUCAAUGAUGAUACUGGAUUUGCAUCUCCACAGGCCAUAAUUUAUGAAAAAAGUUUGGUUAAGGAAAAGGUCAUUUCUGGUGAGACAUUUUAUGAGGCGGAGGGUGGUGAUUAUUCAAAUUUUGUAUCUGUUACCUUUUUGACUCGGAGUUCUAGCUCGCCUGAUUAUGAUGGUAUUGAUACCCAGGUACUACUGACAUGAGCAGUCAACAUCAGUUAUAGUCCUGGAUCUUGGUUAUAUUGGUUUUAUUUGCACCCAAACCAACUUAAUGAAACCUGUGUUCUUACAAAUAGAAAAAUCUGAAUCUUCAAUGCUGAUGCUUUGUACUAAUUUUUAAUUAAUUAAUUAAUUUUAUUUUAUUUUUUUCAGAUGAAUCUCCGAAUGUCAAAAUUGGAGUUCUUUUGCAACAGACACACUCUUGUUGCUUUGAUUGAUUUCGGCCUGGAUUUAAGCUCUGUGUAUGAUGUAGAAGGUAGUGCAGAUUUGACUAAGGCUCCACAUGAUAAACCUUUGAUGACCAAAGAAAAGACUGAAAAUGGGUGUGUAAAAGGGUUGCUGGGUUAUGGUAAAGGUCGUGUGGUAUUUUAUUUAAACAUGAAUGUUGACAAUGUGACUCUGUUUCUUAACAAAGAGGAUGGCUCUUCGUUUGCGAUGUUUGUGCAAGAAAGUUUCCUGCUGGAUCUCAAGGUGAUGGGAAUAUUGUGAUUAACGAUUAUUUCGAUGUGUUGGUUGAAAUUUACUAGUGUGUAGUUUCAGAUGUGAUAUUUUAGGUAUCAAAUAACUGUAUUAUGGACUUGAGUUGUUUGUUUGGUAAGGUCCACCCAAGUUCUCUUGCCAUUGAAGGCACCCUAGGAAAUUUUAGACUCCGUGAUAUGUCUCUUGGAACAGAUCACUGUUGGGCCUGGCUUUGUGAUAUAUGUAAUCCAGGUGUUGAAUCCCUUAUCAAGGUACAGAUAGCAUCAAUUAUCAGCUAUUGCAUUGCAGACAUGAUUUGUUUUUACUGUGGUAGUUCGUUUGUUAUGAGAAUUUUUUCUUUUUAUUUGUUUUGCAGUUCAAAUUCAACUCUUAUAGUGCUGAAGAUGAUGACUAUAAAGGCUAUGAGUACAGUUUGUGUGGCCGACUUUCUGCUGUCCGGAUCAUUUUCCUCUAUAGGUUUGUUCAGGAGGUAUGUUUGGCAUUGCUCUCAAGACAAUGAUUUGGUUACAACAUUCACAGGGAUGUGUUAAUUUGUGUAACCUCAAUGCUUGAAGUUUCUAUUUUCGGGUUUUAUGUAUAUUUGUUCUUUAUUUUGUAAUUAAUGAUAAUCCAUCUUUGAAGUAUCACAUAUUUUUUUGGACAUGCUAAUGCAGAUAACAGUGUACUUUAUGGAACUGGCCACCCCACUUACCGAAGAGGCAAUCAAACUUGUUGACAAAGUUGGAGGCUUUGAGUGGCUAAUUCAGAAAUAUGAGAUUGAUGGAGCUACAGCAUUGAAGCUGGACCUGUCACUUGAUACUCCAAUAAUCAUUGUUCCAAGGAAUUCAACAAGCAAAGAGUUCGUGAAUUUGGAUUCUGUUUUUUGCUAUACAAUGCACAUAUUUGGGUUAAUAAGAUGGUUGGGUUGCUUUUCGAUGAAGAAAUUGAGAACUGCAUGGGAAUUUCCAGUAGAGAGUUUAUAUAAAUUUUUUUUUUUUUUUUUUUUUUGAAAAGAAACGAUAGAAUUUUAUAAAACGAAAGUUUAUAUAAAAAUUUUGAAAUGGGCUAUUUGGUUUAAGUUUCAAACAGUUUGGCAGAUGAAUAGUUGGAGGGGCAUGGUGUUGGUGUUACUGAAGACUGAUGAGUUUUUGGUGAUACUAGUGUUGUUGCUCAUGAUUUUGUCACUUUAUGUCUGGAUCUUGUAUUUUCAAAGUUAAAUACAUUUGUUAUAUCAGUAUUUAAGAUUGACAUUUGUCUCUAUAUUUUAUCUAAUUGCAGUUUCAUUCAACUUGAUCUGGGACUGCUAAAAGUCACAAAUGAAUUUAGUUGGUAUGGUUCUCAUGAGAAAGAUCCUUCAGCAGUCCAUAUUGAUGUCCUUCAUGCUGAGGUAGGCGAUUUUUACUUCUUUUUCUUGGACUUGAUGACAGAAAUUACUGAACUAAUUUUUACUGACAUAAAAUUUCAGAUUCUGGGGUUCAACAUGUCUGUAGGAAUUGACGGUUGCUUGGGCAAAUCAAUGAUACGAGAAGGCAAAGGACUUAAUGUUUAUGUGAGGAGAAGUUUGAGGGAUGUCUUAAAAAAAGUUCCUACAUUUUCUCUUGAAGUGAAGGUAACUAAUGUGUGUGAGAUGUAAAAUUUUAUUGAAUUUAUCUUUAUAAUGAAUUUAUCUUUAUAAUGGUGUGGGAGAUAACACAUCUUUAGUAGGCAUUACGUUGGGGGUGCUGUUUAACUUAUGGUUGUUGAUAUUUGCAUAGUUGAUAGUUGAUAGUUGAUACACGUAGUGGAUGAUCUAAUGGUGGAGUUCAUCCUGUAUUGAUUGUUAGAUACAUGUACAAGAUGAUAUUAAGUGCAUGGGGUCAUAAUAUUGUUUCAAAUGGUAAACAUACGUGGGAAUUCCUAAGCAUUUUGGACCAAUCCUUUACCUUUUUGGUACUUAAUAUAUGGUGAUCUAACUUAUUCAUCCUCCAUUUGCUCCAUUGUUGUGGUCACAUAUUUUUAACUUUAUAUGAUAUAUCCCUGCAUUUAUGUUUCGAUAGAGGGAGCUUCAAUUGAGGGAUGCCUCACCUUUUAUUUCAAUGAUCCAAACCAUCUAAUUUUAGGUCUUCUCUCAAAUAUCAUCAUUGCAAAAUCACUCAAAUCCGGAAACCAUUUAACCACUUAAUUAAAUGGUUGUCAUUUAAUGUUUCCUCGAAAUAACGUGUUCUAUCUUCUUGGCUACAACAAGAUGUCUUAGAGGUUUCGGAUUUGUCUAACCUUUUGCAAGGAUGAUCUUUGAACGGGACCCACAAGGUAUCCCUCAAUAGAAGGGACUAAUUACAUAUAUAUGUAUGUAUGUAUGUAUGUAUGUAUACAAAUAGUUAAUUUUAUUUAUACUCUCCUAAAAGUGAAACAUUUGUGGACAAGAAAUCGACAUAGUAGUUUUGUCUGCUCUGAAAUCGACAUUAGUAAUUUUGUUUCCUCUGGUUGUGAUCUUGUGUGUUAUGGAUUCAAAUCUUGCUGACCCUCUUAACUAUUUUUUUGCCUUUGCUUCUGCAUGUGGCCUAUACAUCGUUCGGUUAUGUUGGGGUGGGCAUGGAUAGUUUGGGUGUUUGCUUGUUCAGCUUUAUUUUAUUUUGAUUUGUUCAAGUAUUUUUUUCCCCUUUUUAUAUGGUUCCAUAGUUGAAUGGGUUUUACUUUCCUGAAUUUCAAAUCUGUCUUGAAUCGAUGCCCUUCAGGCUUUUAGUUUACUGGAUUUUUAUUCUGUUAUCAUGCAGUGGGUCAUGAUUCUCUGCUGAUUCCUACCCCUUGAUCGUCUUCUACCAGGUUGGAUUAUUGCACAGUGUCGUGUCUGACAAAGAAUACAAAGUCAUUCUGGACUGUGCAUACAUGAACUUAUGCGAAGAGCCAAAGCUUCCCCCGAGUUUCCAUGGUGGUAAAUCUGGUUCCAAAAAUGCAAUAAGACUGCUGUUUGAUAAGGUCAACAUGAACAGUCAACUCCUGCUAUCAAAAAGUGUUACCAUAGUGGCAGUUGUAAUUGAUCAUGCCCUGUUGGAAUUGUAUAACGGCACUCAUGCAGAGUCUCCUUUCGCUCAAAUUGCUGUGAGUAUUUGCAUCAAUCACAGUUAAGUAGGGUUCGUUUUGAAUAGUGUGUAAGUCCUGUUUUUGCUCUCUGAGAUUUCAACUUUCAUUAUGGUGUUGAGAUUUUGAACACAGAGUUGUUUGUUGUGUUUUGACAUUGUAUGACUGUUCUGAUCGUGUGGUUAUCAUCUUAUGUACUUGUUUCAUAGUAAAAAUUAAAACAGAAUCUUGUGUAAUUUGUUUCUGUUUAACAGAUUGAAGGUCUUUGGGUAUCGUAUCGGAUGACUUCAUUGUCAGAGACAGAUCUCUACAUAACCAUUCCAAAAUUUUCUGUUGUUGACAUUCGGCCCGAUACAAAGCCCGAAAUGCGCCUAAUGCUUGGAUCAUCCACUGAUGAUUCCAAACAAGUUUCUUCUGGAAGUUUGCCCUUUUCUUUGAAUAAGGGGAGCUUUAGAAGAACAGACUCUGAUGCUGGAUUUUCUCAUGUGGAUUUACCAAUAUCAACAAUGUUCUUGAUGGACUAUAGAUGGAGCAAAUUUUCCCAAUCAUUAGUGAUUAGGGUUCAGCAACCUCGUGUUCUUGUUGUAGCUGAUUUCCUUUUGGCUGCGGGUGAGUUUUUUAUGGCAUUACAAACAAUAACUGGUAGAGAGGAAGUGAUGGAUCCUACGAAUGAUCCCGUUGGUAAAAACUGUAGCAUAGUAUUCUCUGGACCUAUUUACAAGCAGACACAAGAUGUGGUGCACUUGUCUCCAAGUAGACAGUUAGUGGCAGAUUUUUUGCACAUUGAUGAAUAUACAUAUGAUGGGUGUGGAAAGACCAUCUAUUUGAGUGCGGAAAUGGACGCAGAAGAACUCCAUUCAACUAGGCCUCGGCCCAUUAUUAUAAUUGGACAUGGAAAGAGGUUGCGAUUUAUGAAUGUCAAAAUUGAGGUACAGAUCCAUCCUUUCAUCUGCGACAGUAGUUGUGGUUUUUCUUCCAAUUGUGUUUAAUGCAGCAUCAGAACAUGCCUAAGACUUCAGUGCUAUUUAGAAGGUGUGCAAUGGGUGUGGAAAAAAUGUUUUCCAAUAAACAUCACAAAACAUAGGUAUAGGAUUCAGAAACCAGAAAAACAGCUAUAGAGGUACAAAGAGCAUUUCAGUGUAGUUGGGAAAUGAUAGAAAAAAGUGAAUCAAAUUUUUAUAUGUGACCAUAUGUGUUGUUUUUUUAAAAUUGUUUUUUACUUAUUUUAUUUUUAAUUUGUUUUUCUCAUCCCUCAGUAAUUGGUAAGUGCUCCAACUAUUGAUUGACACUUUCCUGUUAAUACCUCAGAAUGGUUCUAUUUUGACGAAGUAUACACAUUUGAGUAACGAGAGCAGCUACUCAGUAUCUUUAGAGGAUGGUGUGGAUAUCACUUUGCUGGACAGUUACUCAUCCGAUGAUGACAAGAAGAGUCUAAAAGACUUGCAUAAAUCGUCAGACACUUCAAAUAUUUCUUUGGAUUCUGAAAGUGAUCCAAAUAUGAUCCGGAGUUUCAGUAUUGAAGCUCAGGUAAGUAAUUCAUUAUUAAUAUAACUGUUUUGCAAAGUAAUUCAUGGCAAAUCGCUUUACAUUGAAAGCGGAUUGAAAUCAUUGGUAGAUUAUUUUGUGGUAAUCUGAUUGUAUGCUAUGCAGUGCUUCCACAAGUUACUGUUAGAAUAACAUGUCAGCACUGCCACAUCAGAAGAGUCUGUUAGGGUUGUUAGAAUCUGUUGGUUGUUAGAUGUUGAGAGUUAGUUAGCACUGUAGCCGACUAACUUGAGAUAUAAAAAGGACAAAUUGUAAUUCAUUUGUGUGUGAAAUACAAGAUCAGAUUCUUGUCUCUCUCUCUAAGUUUUCAUCUCUCUUUCUCUUCUCUUUUACAUUUCUGUAGUCUUAGUUUUUCAUUUCGAUUCUCUGGUUUUGUUAUCAUGGUAUCAGAGCAAGUGAAUUAUAACAGGAGACUGUGUUUCUGGUUUAGACUUUGAAAUGCUUCUGGAACCAGACUGACAUAGGAUUUGAAAUGGAUAUACAUCCUCAUCAUGUAUCACAUGUCUAGACACAAUAAACUUCCUGGAUUUAAUCUCAUAACUUAUAACACCCUUAUAUCCCAUAGCAAAUCCCAUAAACACACAUUAAACAGCUCUAGGUUGCAGUUUGUUUGCAUUAAAGGGCCUAAGUAAUGGAUAGACAGCAGUUCCAAAAAUCUUAAGAUUAUGCACUUCUGGAUUUUGACCAAACAUAAUCUGAUAAGGAGAUUUCAUCUCCAAAGUUCUUGAGGGCAUUCUGUUAAUCAAGAAAGCUGCAUAGGAACAUGAAUGAUACCAGAGAGAUGUAGGAAUCUGUGCUUCAGUCAUCAAAGUCCAGGCUGUUUCAACCAAGUGCCUAUGUUUCCUCUCAGCAAUUCCAUUUUGCUGAGAUGUAUGAGGACAAGACACUUGAUGAAUGAUUCCCUUAUCAGCCAAAAAUUUUUGAAACCUAUUACUCAUGUAUUCCCCUCCACCAUCAGAUUGAAAACAUUUCAUAUUAACAUUGAACUGAUUAAGCACAAAACUGUGAAACUUGACAAAUACAGAAAAAGUAUCUGAUUUAUUCAUCAUAGGGUAAAUCCAUACAAACCUAGAGAAAUCAUCUAUAAAACUGAUGUAAUAUCUAUAACCCUCUACAGAUUUCUGAGGUGAAGGAACCCAGACAUCCGAAUGGAUUUUCUCAAAUACAAAUUUUGAUCUCUCUUGUUUGACAUGAAAAGGCAAUUUACUCAUCUUGCCUUGAAUACAAGCAGAACAUAUGGAAAGAGAUGAAUCACUACUAACUGGUAAUUGUGCACUCUGCAACAUUGAACUUAGGACUUCUUCUGAAGGGUGCCCCAAUCUCUUAUGCCAUACUGAUACCUUCACUUUCUUCCCUAGGAAUGCACCACACUUUCCCAACUUUGCAGCAAAUGAAUGAGAAAAUACACUAACUGGUAUCUCGAACAACUCACCAUCAUCACUCUUUCCCUGGUACAAAAUCAUUCUUGUUGCCUUGUCCUGUAUAAAGAAAACCAAAUCAUCAUACACAAACCAGCAAGCAUUAUCUCUGCAUAACUUUUUGACUGACAACAGAUUCAUAGUUAUUUUGGGAACAUAUAAAACAUUAUGCAGAAUAAGAUUAUUAGAUGGUGUUUGGAUAAUUGAAGAUCCAAUAUGUUGAACUUGCAAACCUUCACCUCCAGUGAUUCACUGUGAUAACCUGUCAGCUAUAGCUUUAAUGGGAUCAAUAUCUCUAGCAUAUAUAUUUUUCUUUUGCUUAUAUUAUGCUGAUAAACUUUUGUGCAGUUGGUUUUGAUGUUCUGUUCAUUUUUGGAUUACUUAUUUUGGCUCUCAGGUAGUUUCUCCUGAGUUUACCUUCUAUGAUUCUUCAAAGUUUUCUCUGGAUGAUUCAUAUGGUGAAAAGCUUCUCCGUGCGAAGUUGGAUUUUAGCUUCAUGUAAGAGUUUUCAUAUUUAUUUUUCACAUACCUUUCUUUUUCGAGGGAAAAGUUAGGGUGCAAUAGAAGUUACUUUGAAAGCUUGCAUGCUUGAAAUUUUAACACUUACAUACUUCUAAAAGUAUUUUAAGGAAGUAUUAUGUACACAGAAUUUGCACUGAUUGAGCUAAAUAACCUGUUAAUACAGGUAUGCAUCCAAAGAAAAUGAUACCUGGGUUCAAGCGCUGGUGAAAGAUCUUACAGUUGAGGCUGGUUCUGGUCUUCUUGUUCUUGAUCCAGUGGAUAUAUCAGGGGGUUACACUUCUGUGAAGGACAAAGCAAAUAUCUCUUUGUUAUCAACCGAUGUUUGCUUCCAUCUUUCACUGAGUGUUGUGUCUCUUAUACUUAAUUUGCAAAGCCAGGCAACAUCAGCAUUGCAAUUCGGAAAUUCUAUGCCAUUGGCUGGAUGUACCAAUUUUGAUCGAAUUUGGGUGUCCCCAAAGGGUAUUUUCUCAUAACUUCUGUGGUGAAGUUUGAUAUUGUAAUUGCACCAUUUCUUUUCAUCAGAUUGGUUUUCAUGUCAAUCAUCAAAGACUUAACAUUUUUGUGUAUUUAUGCAGAAAAUGGAUCCUGUUACAACCUUACCUUUUGGAGGCCUCGAGCACCUUCAGGUUAUGUUAUACUGGGAGAUUGUGUGACAUCAAGGUAGAAUUAAAUGGAAUAUUUUUUAGAGGACACAAAUAUUUUCUUAAUGAAAUGGAAAUUACAAUCUCUAGACAAGCAGUCCACAGCAACAGGGAUGAAACUAAUAGGUCCUACUUUACAAGAAUAGUCAUAAAAAAUUUGGCCCCAUGCUCCAUAUUAUUGUAUUUUAUAAAUAUAAUUCAUGCAUAUGAGUUCCCAAGUAGUAAUAAAUUAAAAAGGAAGGCAACUUAAAUAUCAUAACUAUGAGUUAAUCUGGUGAUCUUGUUUGUGUGCGUUAUGGUUGUAAAGGUUUACUUCUUUUCCAUCACAUGUAUUUUUGAGCUUAUACGCUCAAAUCUUGAGAAGAGAGAAGAAAAAAAUCUGUCGUUCUAGGUUGCCAUUAGGUAGAAACUUCCUAGGCAUGUGCUAAUGCUUCUUUAUCCUGAGAAAUUAGUACUCUGGAUGAGUUUUAAAAAACAAAAAUUGAGUGCUUGCAUGAAUUUUAUUGCAUGAAAGCAAUUUACAUGUGCUCAUGCUCAUGUAAGCAUGAUUUGUAUUAUUUUUUUUUAGCUGUCUGGAAGUAAAAGGAACAUAAAGUAGAUGACGUAAUUAAUAAUAUACGGAUGGUUUGGGUACAACUCAUUGUAUUCUGUUUAUUUUCUUUAUUGUUGAUCUGUUUGGAGAAGAUGCUUUCCUUGUUCAUUCAAGUAGUUCUGUUUUGUGUGAUAAUGUGUUUAGAUGCUAUAUUUAAUUAUUUUUGGUUUCUUGUGAUGUCUUCAGGCCAGUUCCUCCUUCACAGGCAGUAAUGGCAGUGAGUAAUGCAUAUGGGCGUGUGCGUAAACCAAUUGGUUUUAAUCUCAUAGGCUUGUUCUCUGCUAUUCAAGGAUUUGGUGGGGUUGAUUCUGAUGUUGGUAGUGAUUGUUCUCUUUGGAUGCCUGUAGCACCAACCGGAUACACUGCAUUGGGUUGUAUAGCAAAUAUAGGGAAAGAGCAGCCACCUAAUCAUAUUGUUUAUUGCAUACGUUCUGAUCUUGUUACAUCAACAACAUAUUCAGAAUGCUUGUUUUCUUCUCCAUCAAAUCCUCAAUUUGCAUCUGGAUUUAGCAUCUGGCGUGUGGAGAAUGUUCUUGGAUCAUUUCAUGCCCAUUCUAGUACUGAAUGCCCUUCUGAAGACAAUUGUUGUAACCUCAAUCAUCUUCUUCUUUGGAAUUGGAAUCGGCAUCAAUCUUCUCGUAAAGAUCCUGCCUCAAAUUUGGCUGUUGAUAAUAUCUAUGCAAGUCAGCAAACCAGAAACCAGACUGGAAAUUCUUCUGGAUGGGAUAUGGUCAGAUCAAUUUCAAAGGUAAAUAAUUGUUUUACGUCGACCCCCAACUUUGAGAGAAUCUGGUGGGACAAGGGUAGUGACCUCCGCCGACCAGUAUCAGUAUGGAGGCCCAUCGCACAUCGUGGCUAUGCCAUAUUGGGUGACUGCAUAACCGAAGGGUUAGAAAUUUUAUAUCUUUGUGUGUUCUUUAUCAGGUUUAGAAAUUUUAGUCAGUCAGUUGAAUUUUUGUUGUUAUUGUAAGUUUUGUUAACCAGAGGUCGCACUUGGUGCGAUGGCAAGUGCCUUCGCCCAUGAGCGGUAGGUCUCGGGUUCGAGACUUGGGAGCAGCCUCUCCAUAAAUGGGGGUAAGGUUAGCCGACAUUCACCUCUCCCAGACCCUGCGUAAAGCGGGAGCCUUGUGCACUGGGUACGACCUUUUAUUGUAAGUUUUGUUAACCAGCUUGUGUUCUUUUUUUUUUUCAGCUUAGAACCACCAGCUGUGGGCAUUAUUUUUCAGGCUGAUUAUCCUGAAGUAUCUGUGAAACCCGUACAAUUUGUUAAAGUUGCCCAUGUUGAAGGGAAAGGUUUUGAUGAAGUAUUCUUUUGGUACCCACUUGCUCCACCUGGUUAUGCAUCUCUUGGAUGCAUAGUCUCCAGGACGGAUGAAGCCCCAUGUGUUGAUACAAUUUGUUGCCCUAGGAUGGAUCUUGUUAACCAAGCUAAUAUUCUUGAGGCGCCAAUUUCAAGAUCUUCAACUUCAAAGGGAUCUCAAUGCUGGAGCAUUUGGAGAGUUGAAAAUCAGGUUGGGUUUCUAUCUUUCUUUAUUCAGUUUAUUUAAUUUUGUGAGGGACUGGGGGGCCUGGGAAGGGAUUUGAGACAUAAACUCAAGAUCUAACCUAAACAUAACUGGUGGCCACAGCCUAUACAAGAAAUUAAGUUACAGUCAGCUCAAAACCAGCACCUAAUCAGGUUGAAUGACGCUAAAAGAAGUAUCCUAGAUAUCUUGGUCACCAAAGUUCUUCAAGAAGCUAAAUAUUGAUUCUGGCCCCAAUUCCACUGCCCUGCCUUGUGAUCGAAUGUCCUGUUAUUUCUUUCUAUUAAAAAAAAAAAAAAACAGAAAGAAGCCAAAUCUUGUUAGAUGAAUAUUUAGUUAUUUGUUAUUCUAAAUCUGUCAUGUAAGAAUGCAGCUGCCAUGCCUGAAGUUUGGUAAAAUUAUAAGAGAGCAGUAACUUUUGCUUCAAUAUGAAGUUUUUAUUUUACGAUGAUGUGUUUAUUGUGCCAUAACUGAACAUGUUUUUACAUAAUUUGAAGCGCUCUUCUGUUUCUGCAGGCCUCCACUUUUCUUGCACGGGCUGAUCUGAAAAAACCGUCAAGCCGAUUGGCUUAUAGUAUUGGUGAUUCCAUGAAGCUAAAGACUAGGGAUAAUAUAACUGCAGAGGUGAAACUGAGACGCUUCUCUUUAACUGUUCUAGACAGCUUAUGUGGAAUGGUAUGUCUUAUAAACACAUUUGUAAGUCUGGAAACUGAUGUAAAGAUGGUUUUCAUUUUCAUACUGUUAAUUAUCUUGGUUAUAUUGGAUAACUUUGAUUUUUCAGAUGAGACCACUAUUCAACACGACAAUCACCAAUAUCAAGCUUGCAACGCAUGAUAGACUGGAGGCUAUGAAUGCAGUACUGAGUUCCUCUAUAGCUGCAUCAACCUUCAAUACUCAAUUAGAAGCGUGGGAGCCACUUUUGGAGCCUUUCAAUGGAAUAUUCAAGUAUUAUAUGAGCUCUUUCUAUUUGAUUUUGAGUUCAAUUAAAUUUUUGUUAUCUCGGGAAUUAAUUUUGUUGACUUUUUCAAGGUUUGAAACUUCUGAUAGUAAUGUGCACUCGCCGUCAAAAUUUGGGAAGACACUGCGUAUUGCUGCCACCAGUAUCCUUAAUUUAAAUGUCAGUGCUGCAAACCUUGAAACUUUUAUUGGAAGUGUUCUUUCAUGGAGAAGACAAUUAGAACUUGAACAGAAAGCAAUGAAGAUAAAUGAGGUGAACCUAGGGUUGAUUUGUUGUGUACAUAUGCUUCCUGUAUUUUUUAUUCUUUGUGAUGGGGGGAUGGGGAGUGGGGUGGGGGUUGAAAUAACAACUUUGAAUACCAAAUUGGGUCUUUGCAGGAAUCUAGUGGUCUAUGUGGACUAGGAGAGGACCAGACUUUCUCUGCAUUGCAUGAAGAUGACUUUCAGACUUUAAUUGUAGAGAAUAAACUUCGGUGUGAUAUCUAUGUGAAAAGAGUUGAGGAAAACUUAGACAGAGUGGACCGGUUACAUCAUGGUGACUACAUUUCUAUAUGGGUGCCGCCUCCAAGGUUUUCUGAUAGGUUCAACGUUGUAGAUGAAUCUAAGGAAGCACAUUAUUAUGUUGCUAUACAGAUCCACGAAGCCAAGGUUGUAACUGGUUAAAUUUAUUUUUUUCUUACCUUAAAUGUUGUAUCAUUUUGUUUCCUACGUUCUGGAGAUAAGAUUGAUUCUUUUGAUUGCAGGGUUUACCUAUUAUAGAUGAUGGUAACGGCCAUAAACUCUUCUGUGCUUUGCGCCUUGUUGAUAGUCAACCAACAGAUCAACAAAAACUUUUUCCUCAAAGUGCAAGGACAAAAUGUGUUAAACCUGCAGUAUCAAAUUUCAAUAACUUGAAUGAAGGCACAGUGGAAUGGAAUGAACUCUUCAUAUUUGAAGUUCCACGGAAGGUAUCUGAUAUAGUUAUUGCUCUUUUUCACUCUUUCUCCCACUCUUUCUCCCACUCUUUUAUUCUUUAAGUUUCCAAGCUUGAGUGUGCAAGUGUUGCAGGGCCCAGCUAAACUGGAAGUGCAGGUGACAAACCUUGCAGCAAAAGCAGGAAAGGGUACGUACUAUCGGCAACCUUCCCUGAAUUUUGCAUUCUUUCUUGUUUUGAACUUGCAUCCACAUUUUUGUUCAUGAACUUAGGUUGUUGAUUCCCAUGUCUAUCUAGAAUUAGUAAACCGUGUAUUCAAGAGGUAAAUGAAAUUUGUUCUUACUCAUACAGUUGUGGUGGAAAUUGGUUCAGGAAGUUAGAGUUAGUUGGGUCAUUCCAAAGGGUUGUUUCGUGCUUCCAAGCACCAAUUUUGGGGCUUUAGGAAAGGGGAGGAAAGCUAAAGCUUUGUGGGGCUGUUUGGUGUUGGUAGUUUUUUGGAACAUUUGGUUGGAGCAUAACAGGAGUUUUUGAGGAUUAUAAUGGAGUGGGGGUAGCAGAACUAUGGGGUAGAGUAAGAUACUGGGCAGCCCUCUGGGCAUCAGUUUCGAAUGAGUUCAAGGAUUAUUCUCUUUCUCAUAUAGUUUGGGAUAUGUUAGCAGCCGUAAAAUGAUUUUGGUUGAGGUUAUGUUACUUGUAAUCAGAUCUAUUUGAAAGGUCUUAGCUAGAUUUGCUGCAUGGUGGAUUUCUUAUCCACUAUUUUGUAAUUCUUGUUUUUAUUUUAAUAAAGUGUAAUCAUUUCUUUGAAAAAAAAAGAAGAAGAGGGGAAUGAAAUCUUCAGCAUUUUGAAUAUCUUCUCCCAUGGCUUCUACACAUGCCCUUUUGUAUGUUUAUAGUCAUAUUCUGAUAGCCUAUCUGUUGCUGCUCUGAAUGUUAUUCGGAAAUGUUUUUCCCAAAUCCAAGCUUCACUUUGUACUACUGCUUUUUUUUUUUUUUCAGUUCAUUUAUUAAUCAUGUGUACCUAAUGUAUUAAAAGGCGGAGGCGUUCCAUGGAUAGCCCCUCCUAGGCGUAGGGUGUGAGGCGAAGACUCACGGGACCUAAAUAAUUUAAUAUAGCCGAUCCCACUCAGUGACUUGGAUUUUCCAUGUCUCCAACCGAGAAGUUUUCCUCACUCGAAAAAUUAAGGGAACACUACCCCAACCUACAUGCUCCACUCAGAAAGCUUCAACAUACAAGCUUCAACAAAAGAAAAUUCAAAGAACUUAGCGAAGAAGGCUUUGGUGUAUUUAACACAAUACGUUGAAAUGAAGGAAAACUUAUUUAUUGAUAUCCCCGAUAAGCUACAAAUAUGUACAUAUACAUGAGUCAAAAUAAACAAACAAGAUGGAGCCUUCACAAAGGUUGCUUAGGAGAAGUCUCAGCAGUCAGUAGAGCCCCAGAAAGAGAAGGCAUCGGAGGGGGAUCAUUCAGAGCCUCAGUACUGGACAGAACCCUAGAAGGAGGAGGCAUCAGAGGUUGAUCAUUUGGAGCUUCAUUACGCGGUACAGCCCCAGAAGACGAAGGCAAUAAAUGCCUUUGGAACAAACCCACAAAUCUCUGAUGAUCAAGUAAAACCUGACCAUCAGUUUCCUUCAUCUGGUCAAGCUUCCUCUUCAUGUUUGUAGCAUAGUCAUGUGCGAGCCGGUGCAACUGUUUAUUCUCAUGCCUGAGCCCUCUAAUCUCCUGUUUGAGACUCAUCACUUCGGCCGCCAAUGAUUCAACUUGGCGGGUUCGAGCAAAUAGGCGUUGGGCCAUAUUAGACACAGAACCUGCACACUGAACACUGAGAGCCAGUGAAUCCUUAACAGCUAACUCAUCAGACCGUUUGGAAAGUAGUCUGUUAUCUUUGGGAGUGAGAAGGUUCCUGGCCACCACCGCAGCGGUCAUAUCAUUCUUCAUCACGGAAUCCCCAACGGUAAGAGGACCAGUAGGGGAGACGAAGGAUGGGCGCCAUAUGUUGUCUGGAGAAGGCGGGGCUGCCUCUUCAACAAGGUUCAAGUCAAAACGACGGUCGGAGGGGCCAGACAUUUUAAAAGGUAUUGAAGAGAGAAGAGGUCGGACAAAUCAAGAUCUUAGAAGUGCAAGAAUGGAGCUUCUACUGGUGGAGAUUCAAGUGUGCUUUGGAACUUAAUGCCAGCCCCUAUAAAAAGCUGCACUCGACGGAGCUUCAGACAUCGAAGAGGCGCCUGCUCAGAAAUCGAAGAGGCGUUUGCUUUCUCAAAAGCUGGGCUGCUUAGAGACCACGAGGGUUGAUCUCAUAAAUCGAAGGGGUGUUUGCUUUCUCAAAAGUUGGGCUGCUCAAAGACCACGAAAGCCGAUCUCAGAAAUCGAAGAGGCGCUCGCUUCCUCAAAAGCUGGGCUCCUCAGAGACCACGAGGGCCGAUCUCAGAAAUCGAAGAGGCACCUACUUUUCCAGCAUUGUCAGCACCUGUCACACGCACACUCAGCUUUGCGGAAAUUAUGGGUAUUCUGUCGAAGACUUAUGAGGAAGUAGAAAACACAUGAAUCUUACUGUCCAAUCACCCACUUCCCACACGCAGCAAUAGCUCAUGGGUACCACAGAUAACUUUGCCAAAGUUCUCUGCCAAAGUUGAGCACGUGAAGCUUGCAACUCCCACUACAUCGCUCUGACCAAGAAGGGUAAAAGAAUAGCAAAGAAACAGCACUAACAAAGUUUAGACCCAUAAAUUUUGAAGGUCUAGCUACCAUAUUAUUACCCACAAGGGUAAAGGAACAGUACCACUGUUGGAUAAUUGGAAAGUCCCUGUGUGUCAACCUCAGUGCCUUGUGGCAAGGUAGACUAGCAAACAUGCCCAACCUUUACUCACAUGCGAGAAAACACUCCCAAUAAGAUUGCUUGCUCCAAAAUCGAAGAGGCACCGUCCUCCGAAUCUCGAGAGCCAGACUCCCAACAUGACUACUUUCUCAAAAAUCGAAGAGAGGGUAAAGGAACAGUACCAUUGCUGGAUAAUUGGAAAGUCCCUGUGUGUCAACCUCUGUGCUUCGUGGCAAGGUAGACUAGCAAACAUGCCCAACCUUUACUCACAUUCGAGAAAACACUCCCAACAAGAUUGCUUGCUCCAAAAUCGAAGAGGCACCGCCCUCCGAAUCUCGAGAGCCAGACUCCCAACAUGAUUACUUUCUCAAAAAUCGAAGAGACACUGCUCCCCGAAUCUCGAGAGCCAGACCCUCAGCAUGAUUGCUUUCUCAAAAAUCGAAGAGGCGCUCGUUUUCUCAAAAGCUGGGCUGCUCAGAGACCACGAGGGCCGAUCUCAGAAAUCGAAGAGGCACCUUCUUUUCUAGCCUUGUCAGCACCUGUCACACGCACACUCAGCUUUGCGGAAAUUAUGGGCAUUCUGUCGAAGACUUCUGGUGAAGUAGAAAGCACAUGAAUCUUACUGUUCAAUCACCCACUUCCCACACGCAACAAUAGCUCAUGGGUACCACAGAUAACUUUGUCAAAGUCUCUGCCAAAGUUGAGCACGUGAAGCUUGCAGCUCCCACUACAUCGCUCUGACCAAGAAAGGUAAAAGAAUAGCAAAGAAACAGCACUAACAAAGUUUAGACACAUAAAUUUUGAAGGUCUAGCUACCAUAUUAUUACCCACAAGGGUAAAGGAACAGUACCACUGCUGGAUAAUUGGAAAGUCCCUGUGUGUCAACCUCCGUGCUUCGUGGCAAGGUAGACUAGCAAACAUGCCCAACCUUUACUCACAUCCGAGAAAACACUCCCAACAAGAUUGCUUACUCCAAAAUCGAAGAGGCACCGCCUUCCGAAUCUUGAGAGCCAGACUCCCAACAUGAUUACUUUCUCAAAAAUCGAAGAGACACCGCUCCCCGAAUCUCGAGAGCCAGACCCCCACCAUGAUUGCUUUCUCAAAAAUCGAAGAAGCAUCGUUCUCCGAAUCUCGAGAGCCAGAUACCACAUACCACUUUUUCAAAGUGCUCUGACAGAGUUAAAACAUGUGAAGCUGGCAGCUCCCACUACCGUGCUAUGACCAAGCAGGGUAAAGGAAUAGCAUUACUACUUGUUGUUAGGGAGACUCCUAUAUAUGUCGACCUCCAUCCCCAACGGACAGGCAGACCUGCAAAAAUGCUCAACCCUUCUUCAUAUCUGAGAGGGCACUCCCAACGAAGCCUUUCGAAAUAUUCAGCUUUCUUUCCCCCCGAUAAUACCUCUGCAAACAAGCUAUACUAGAGCAAGAAUAUCUCAUAUCAUCAGGGUUAAAAGCAAGAGUAUCCCAUAUCAUGCUUUUUCCCUGUCUUUUCCUUUGGCCUUGUUUUUACCUGCAAGACAAGGAGAAAGAGAGCAAUCAGUCAGCACUUGAAAUCAAACUCCCAGCCAGGAACUGACAGCCUGGAACCCCUUACCUGAUUACUUACCUGGCAUUGCUCUCGAGUACUCAUCUUCAACAUCUUAUGUUGCCAGGGAAGAUACCGCAUCUGCUUGAGGAACAGAUAGGGCAAGUGCGAAGGAUACAAGGAAGCAUGUGGAGACAAGCGUAACAGCACACGUGAACAGAUAGGGCAAGUGCGAAGGAUACAAGGAAGCAUGUGGAGACAAGCGUAACAGCACACGUGCCGAUCCAUCCAUUACUCUGUCAAAAGCAAAAGUAUCCCAUAUCAACAGGGUCGAACGUACUCUAGAUUUGAUGGACUUGUUUUGACCCUCAAAUUCUUCAGUCGGCCUUAUACUCUAGAGGAAACCAGAAAACCCUCCAGCUCAGUUCAAGAAUAAGCCUGUGGAAAGUUACUUCUUCAAAAGCAAAAGUAUCCCAUAUCAUCUCUUCUCAUUUUUCUUCUCUUUAUCCUUCAUGCUGCUGCAAGAUGGGGAGAAGGUGAACAAUCAGCCGGAGCUCUGAUUGCUUACCUUGUCUGUCACCUCUUUCAGCAAAUCCCCUAGCUCGGCGACUUGGGGGACUCCUACUACAUGGUUUGUAUCGCGCUUGACCAAGCCUGAAACUACAAGUAAGCUUCAAGUGAAAUUGAUACAUUACCUUGUGCAUCUCCACCAGUUAAAGAUACCACCCCUGGAUGGAGGAAGAGUACUUCCAGAGAAGCUGCCACAUCUACCUAUGAGACAGAUAAGGCAAGUCAAGAUGAUACCACACUCCGAUACUUAGAAGUUCGUGAUUACGAGAUCAUUCUCCCACAAUAUUUCCUAAUGUCAUUUGUACUCUAAUGUCAUUUGUACUAAAUCAUUCACUUGUACUCACUAAAGGAGAGCUUGAACCUAUGUACUUGUGUAAACCCUUCACAAUUAAUGAGAACUCUUCUAUUCCGUGGACGUAGCCAAUCUGGGUGAACCACGUACAUCUUGUGUUUGCUUUCCUAUCUCUAUCCAUUUAUAUACUUAUCCACACUAAUGACCGGAGCAAUUUAGCGAAGAUCACAAAAAAGCGACCGUUUUCGCUACCUAGGAUCUAUCUUACAAGAGAACGGAGAAUUAGAUGGAGAUCUCAACCAUAGAAUACGAGCUGGAUGGAUGAAGUGUAAGAGUGCAUCCAGCAUGUUGUGUGACCGUCGUAGGCCACUGAAGCUCAAGGGAAAAUUUUAUAAGACGGCAAUAAGGCCAGCGAUGUUGUAUGGCACAGAAUGUUGGGCGGUGAAACACAUCAACACGUACACAAAAUGGGUGUAGCAGAGAUGAGGAUGCUUCGUGGGAUGUGUGGGCACACGAGAAAGGAUAAGAUUGAGAAUGAGGAUAUCCGAGGUAAAGUAGGAGUAGCCGAAAUUGAAGGAAAGAUGAGAGAAAAUCGGUUCCGGUGAUUUGGACAUGUGCAAAGAAGGCCGACUGACACUCCGGUUCGAAGAUGUGACUACGGGACAGAGGUUCAGGGCCGAAGGGGUAGAGGAAGACCUAGGAAAACUUUGGAAGAGACUCUAAGAAAAGGCUUAGAGUACUUGGAUCUAACGGAGGACAUGACACAAAACCGAGCGCAAUGGCGUUCUAGGAUUCAUAUAGCCGACCCCACUUAGUGGGAAAAGGCUUUGUUGUUGUUGUUGUUGUUGUAUAUAUAAUUAUAUAUAUAUAUAUAUAUAUAGUAUAAUACUUUGUAAAACAAUUAAUCAAAAACCAAAUUGAGAUUAGAAUACUAAAAAACUUGAAUUUUGAAACAAAUUGUGGUGGUUUGGAGAAUUUUGAAACAAAUUGAGGUAUGAGAUUGGAGUAAAAUAGAAAUAUAGGAUUGGGAUUGAGAUUGAGAUUGAGAAUUUUGGGUUUGAGGAAUUGGGGAAUUGUGGAAUUGGGGAUGGGGUGAAAUAUAGCAGAGAAUGGGGGAUUGGUUGGUGAAAUAUACAGAGAAAAUGGGAUAUUGGGUGGUGAAAAUAGCAGAGAAUUGGCAGAGGACUGCAGUGAUUUAAAAAAAAUAAAAAAUUAGACUUGGCGAAAACGACGUCGUUUUGGGCCAAGUCUAUAAAAAAUUAAAAAACUUUCUUCUUCCUAUUGCGGUCGUCUUCUUUGCAAUUUCUUACUGAAUAAUAAUCAUCUAGAGGCAAAUUUCUCAUGCGUUUGUUAUGGUCUCAAAUCAAUACAAUGAUACAGGUGAAGUUGUGGGUGCCCUCUCAUUUUCUGUUGGGCAAGGUCAUGAUUUUCAGAACAUAGUAUCACAUCCACUAAGAAGCAAGGUGAGCACGUUCACCUUAUUUAUGCAUUGAUCGGUGUCGUUGGUUGUGCACAUGUACUGUCUUAGGAAUUGAUUGUUCUUUUUCGUUCUUCUUUGAUGUUGUGCUUUAAAGGCUCAACAGAACAGUACUGAAGAUAUGGAUGAAUGCGGAUGGCUGCUGGUUUCAACUUCUUAUUUUGAGAGGAAAACAACUCCAAGUUUUCAAAGAGAUUUGGAGGCUGAAAAUGUAACGGAUAGAGGCAUAGGUUUCUCUGUCGGACUUGGCCCGGAUGAUGUUUGGCAGAACAUUCGGUCAUUGCUUCCAUUGUCAGUUGUCCCAAAAUCGUUACAGAAUGGUUUCAUGGCUUUGGAAGUUGUUAUGAAAAAUGGCAAGAAGCAUGCAAUUUUCAGGGGUCUUGCAACAGUUGUAAAUGAGACCGAUGUUAAGUUGAAAAUUUCAGUAUGUCAUGCAUCUCGAAUUCAAGGUCGUGAUUCCUCUCUUGGAAGUGAUAGCAUAAAUCCUGGGAGUUCUUUUAUUUUGCCUUGGAGAAGUACAUCUAGUGAUUCUGACCAGUGCUUACAAAUAUGUCCUGCUGUUGAUCAUCCUCAGCCUUCAUAUUCAUGGGGUUCUCUUGCGGCAGUGGGUACUGGUUAUACUUAUGGAAAGGACCUGACUAUUAUAGAUCAGGUUUCACCUUCUAGACAAUAUACUUCAAAGCAGGAAAAUAAGAUGCCAAAUGUUACUUUCAAGUUGAAUCAGCUUGAGAAUAAGGAUAUACUUUUGUGUUGUUCUAGUACCAUAAACGAACAAUUUUGGCUUAGUGUCGGGGCAGAUGCCUCUGCACUUCAUACUGAACUGAAUGCACCUGUUUAUGACUGGAGAAUAUCUGUCCAUUCUCCUAUGAAGUUGGAAAAUUGCCUUCCCUGUCCAGCUGAAUUCACAAUCUGGGAAGGAAAACGAGACGGAAAAUGUGGACGACAGCAUGGUAUUAUCUCUUCACGUGGGGGUGUACAUGUAUAUUCAGCAGACAUUCAGAAACCUUUGUAUCUUACGUUGUCUGUCCAGGGUGGUUGGGUCCUGGAGAAGGUACUAGCUCUGUCUAAAUAUAAGUAACAUGCUUGUUAUAUCUACAUACCAUUGUGAGUUUAAUAACUAUGGUUGUUCUGGCAGGACCCCAUUCUUGUUUUGAAUCUUUAUUCCAAUGACCAUGUCUCAUCAUUCUGGAUGGUUCACCAGAAAAGUAAAAGGUUUGUGCUUCCGAGAAAAGAUUUCUUUGAUAUUUUUUGUUUGGUUUUGUCAAAAGUUGUUAUUGUACUGUUGUUCCCAAAAGCUCAACCUGUUAGGAUAUAGGCAAAUUCAUAUAAUAUUCAACACUCCUCCCUUGUGGAUUUCUAUCAACCAGCAUAAAGCAUAAUACGUAGUUUUCAAUGUACAUUUGGAGGUUUUAAUAGCAAGGACUCCAACUCAGAAUCUCUUAUUAUGCUAUGUUAGGUUUUUACACUGGGGGCCCAAUUUUGUUUUAUACCUUAGUCUUUUUAGGCUAAAUUGAAUAUGUUUUGGUGUUCUCAACUUUGUUUAUGCUCCUUAUGUGUGUGAGUAUUUCUCUAUACUUGUGUGUGGGUGUUCCACUACUAGUUACCCCCAACUAGCUGUUAUGCUGGAAAUAAUUUUUGUAUGAUGUUUCCUCAUCUUUUUUGUUCUACACUUGUGUACCAUUUAUAAUGUUCUACUACUAGUGACCCCCAACUAGCUAUUGUGUCUGCAACUCUUUCUUAUUGGAAAAUUUAAACAUUUCUUGUAACUGAUAUAACAAAUAUUUUAUUAAUUAUCAUAUCCAUGAUCUCCAUUACUAUAUAUUUGCAGGAGACUGCGUGUGAGUAUUGAACAUGACAUGGGAGGAACCACUGUUGCACCCAAAACAAUAAGAUUUUUUGUUCCAUACUGGAUUACUAAUGAUUCAUCUAUUUAUUUGGCAUAUCGAGUGGUAGAAGUAGAACCUUCGGACAAUGCAGAUACGGACUCCCUAAUGCUUUCUAGGGCAGUCAACUCUGCAAAAACAGCCUUGAGAAGUCCCACAAACUCUAUGGACAGGAAGCAUUCUGCCACAAGGAGAAACAUCCAAGUACUUGAAGUUAUUGAGGACACUAGUCCUGUUCCUAGCAUGCUUUCUCCACAAGAUUAUGCCAGCCGUGGUGGGGCUUCGCUGUUUCCAUCUCAAAAAGAUGUGUAUUUGUCCUCACGAGUGGGGCUUUCUGUUGCCAUUCGUCAUUCAGACAUUUACAGUCCUGGGAUAUCUCUUUAUGAGCUGGAAAAGAAGGUGAUUUCAAUGGAGCAUCAAAUUGGCUUACGAUAUCCAUUUUCCUUCUCACGAGUAUCGCUUCACAGUUGCUGAAAUUUGUUCUCUAUUAUAUGAUCUUUGAACUUUCUUUUCCAGGAAAGGCUUGAUGUAAAAGCAUUCAGUUCGGAUGGAUCCUAUUACAAGCUUUCAGCGAGACUGAGCAUGACCUCAGACAGAACAAAGGUUGGAUUUAAAUAUCUUGUGACUUAAAUCUUUAAUGUUUCUCGACUGAUGAACUGCUAGGAAGAAUGUGAUGAGGGACUUACCAAAUUAGUCUGUAAAACAUUAGCUCUGAAGCCUGUUUACAGAAAAUAAGAUGACCCUUAGCCUAAAGAAAAAUGAUGAAAGAUUCUCUUCACCAGGCCAUCUGCAUGUUUAGAAUGGACAGAAGGUUCCUUACUUCUUAGUCCUUAGUAAAAGAAGUUGUUGUUAGUCCCUAUUUUUUGUGCUCUUUGGUACUGAUAAGCUAUGCAUUUGUCAAGUUUCUUUGGUAUAUGGUAAUAAUAAUAAACAACUGCUCAAUGGUUAAUAUUCAGGUUGUGCACUUCCAGCCCCACACCUUGUUUAUUAAUAGAGUUGGUUACAGUCUCUGCCUGCAACAGUGUGAUUCUCGGUCCGUGGCGUGGAUUCAUCCCACGGAUUCUCCAAAGCCUUUUUGUUGGCAGUCUAGUGCCAAAGUUGAACUGUUGAAGGUCCGUGAAGUUUUAAAAUCUCUCAUGUUCGCUAAUUAUGCAUGAAUAGCAUACAUUGUCUGAAUCCCAUAUGGGAUUUAUUCUUCUUAUCAGGUGCGGGUGGAUGGUUACAAUUGGAGUGCACCAUUUAGUGUUUGUUAUGAAGGUAUCAUGCGUGUUUGCUUGAAGAAGGAUGCCGGAAAUGAUCUACUUCAAUUUCGAAUAGCUGUAAGAAGUGGAGCAAAGAACUCAAGCUAUGAAGUUGUUUUCCGUCCAAACUCUUCCAUGAGUCCUUACAGGUAACAGUUCACUAUGUCUUAUGAAAUCUUGUGAAAUGGAAAGAGAUAAUGUAGUUAUCAUAACUCAUAAGGUAUCAUAAGAUAAGAAAAAUAAUUCUGUUUUACUAGAGUGAAAUUUUGUUGAACUUGUAAUGUCUGUUCAUGUGGAAGUUGUCUUAGUACAGUAAAAUAAAUACAUAAACAUGGUUUAAUCUCCUUUACUUGUAUGCAUGUGUUCUUUUGUUUUUGGUCCACUGCUGAUAGUUUUCUAUCAACAGGAUUGAAAAUCGUUCCAUGUUUCUACCCAUCCAAAUUCGGCAAGUGGAUGAUACCAACGAUUCAUGGAAAUUUCUUCUUCCCAAUACAGCAGCUUCUUUUUUAUGGGAAGAUCUUGGCAGAAGACGUUUAUUAGAGAUCCUGGUAGAGGGGGAAGACCCAUUAAAAUCAGAGAAGAAUGAUAUUGAUGAGAUUUCUGAUCACCAACCCAUUCAUGUGGGAAAUGGGCCUUCUAAAGCUUCACGUGUUACUGUAAUAAAAGAAGACAAAGUGAAUGUCAUCAAGAUCAGUGACUGGAUGCGAGAAAGUGAUCCGUCUGGAAUCUUGAGUACAAGCCACUCAUCACCUAUGUCUCAGCUUUCUAUACAGAAACAAUCACCAAUAAUCACUGAUUGUGAGUUUCAUGUUAUCAUUGAGCUUCCUGAGCUUGGAAUAUCCAUUAUUGACCAUACACCCGAAGAAAUCCUGUACCUUUCGGUUCAGAAUCUUCAUUGUGCAUAUUCAACUGGCUUAGGUUCUGGAAUCAGUAGGUAAGUUUGCUAUCAAUUUUGUGGCUUGGAGAACAAUUUGCUUAAUUUAUUAGUCAGUGCGGGUGCAGUCUUCUUAACUGUUGAAAAGCUGCUGUGACCUUGAGUGUUGUUGUAAUGAUAUUUUUUUUGUUUUUUGUUUGUUUCUGGUGUGAUUAUUAGAUGCUGUUAGUAGAAUUAGGUAUAUUGACAUCUUGUCCUCUGUUUUGUACAGUUUCAUUUUAUUAUUGAUAGUUUAUUUCCUAUCGGGAAAAAUAGGAAAAGAACAAUUGUUAUUGUGCAUAUAUAUAUUUUUUAAAUAUUAAUAUGUUAUGAAAUACUUAUGUGUGUUGCAGACUAUUUGAAUAUAUUGCUAUUCAAAAGAAAAUAUUAUCGCUUAGCAUUUAGGCUUAAUUGGUAAAAUAAGAUAUAUAAUAUACUAGCAGUCAACAGUUGGUGUGAUAGGCUUUCAUGUUAUGAGGUCCAUGGUUCAAGCCUCAGCAGAUGAUUUGUUGUUAAUUCCUGUUAGCAGAUCUAUAUGAGAAUCUCUAUUCAGAAGCGUAAAUUUGGCUUAAUUAGCAAAAAGACCUUUAGGAUGCUUUUGUUGAAUCUUGGACUGUUUAUGUUUCUCUUUCAACAGCAGGUUAUUAAAUCUGGAGUCUUCUGUUUCCUGUUUUCAGGUUCAAACUUAGAAUGCGAGGGAUACAAUUGGAUAACCAGUUGCCCCUUACUCCAACACCUAUUCUUUUUAGACCACAGAAAGUUGGAGAAGAUACUGACUAUAUCUUGAAACUUUCAAUCACAAUGCAAUCAAAUGGGUCACUAGAUCUAUGUGUCUAUCCAUAUAUCGGUCUCCAGGUAAGUAUAAGAGAGUUAUCAUUUUCCAAUAGAAGGUUUUCUGAUAUUUUUUCUCCAAUUUAUAUUUAAUUAUAUGCAACUGAUUAUUCAGGGACCUGAAAACUCUGCCUUUUUGAUAAACAUUCAUGAGCCAAUCAUUUGGCGCCUUCAUGAGAUGGUUCAGCAGGUCAACCUCAGUCGGUUGUCUGAUACUCAAACAACUGCUGUUUCUGUUGAUCCAAUUAUUGAAAUUGGGUAUGCCAGGACUUCUAAAAUUGUCUUUUCAUAGCUUUUCACUACAUUUAGUCAUAAUUCCCUUAAAUAAUGUUACUUGUACUUGCAGAGUUCUUAGCAUUUCAGAGGUUCAAUUCAAAGUGUCAAUGGCUAUGUCACCUAGUCGGCGGCUGAGAGGUGUCCUUGGAUUUUGGGCAUCUUUGAUGAUUGCAUUGGGGAACACUCCGAAUAUGCAAGUAAGUGUUGGGAUUCUUCCUCCCGCUGUUUUGUGAUUUCAUGGUUUUUAUUUUUUUUUUUUCUGGAAUUCAUCCUAGAAUUUCAUCUGGCCUAAGUACUUACAUUUGUUAUUUUAGGUGAGGAUAAAACAAAAUUUUAAUGAGAACGUGUGCAUGAGGCAGAGUACAGUGAUUAGCAUUGUUAUUUCAAAAGUUCAAAAGGCAAUGAGAAUGAUGAUAGCAUCAGCAAUAACUUCCGAUGAGCAUCUCCUCCGCAAAAGGCUGCCUCGUGUUAUUGGUGGUGAUAAUUUGAUUCGACCUUAUGACGACUACAAAGCACAGGGACAGGUACUAGUUGUUCGACUGCUUUCAAUCCUCAGUAAAAAAAAUUCUUUCCAUGUAACUUGGUUUGGUUUUUAUUGAUACUGCCUUCAUUGCUUGUUCUUACUCCAACUUUCUUGGCCAUGAAGGCUAUAUUGCAGCUGGCAGAAUCAGGUUCAUUUUUCCUCCAGGUUGAUCUGUUUAAAGUGCGUGGGAAGUUUGCUCUAUCAGAUGCUUAUGAGGAUCACUUUUUACUCCGCAAAGGAAGAAUUCUUCUAGUCACUCAUCGAAGAGUGAUACUGUUGCAUGUAAGUUAGCAGGAUUAGAAUCAUUCGUAGUGCUAUCAGUCCUUUCCUAUCUUCUAUAAGCCAUCCUCAAAAGUCAGCAAACAAUGACAUUGUAACUUUUGUCAUCAGCAACCCUUAGCUCAGAAGUUCAACCCGGCUAGGGAUCCGUGUUCUGUAUUGUGGGAUGUACUGUGGGAUGACCUGGUGAUAAUGGAGAUGGCACAUGGGAAAAAGGACCACCCAAAAGCUCCACCUUCACGGGUCAUUCUUUAUUUACAAGAUAAAUCAGAGAUGAGGGAACAAGUUCAUGUCAUAAAGUGCUUCCCUGAUACCCCCCAAGCACUGGACGUGUACUCUUCAAUUGAACGAGCAAUGAACACUUACAGACCAAACAAACAAAAGGUUAGAUUGUAACGCCAUACCUCUGAGCUCUGCAGCUUCAUGUUAUUGCAUUGACUUUUAACUUUGUCAAGCUUGGCUGACCAUGGAAUGCUAAAAUUGUACAUGCAAACUAAAGAAUAAUUGAGAAUAUUGUACACCCUUGCAUUGCUGUUGCUGAUAGAUACGGAUCUUUAACACAUUGCAAAAGUUCGUGAUAUUCAUCUUUUUCUGGAUAGUUGACGUUUUGCUUUGUAAUGAAUUUUCUUGCUUUGCAAUGCUAUCAGAAAAUGCUGAAAAAGAAUGUGACAAUGCCAUAUGCGCCAAUUAUUGAUAGCGCCAGUGCUGAAGCUACACCAAAAGAUCCAGGGUCGCCCCGACUGGUGCCUGCAUCAAUUCCUCGUUCAAAUUUUGGUAGCCGCUCCAACUGGUGAGGAACUAUGGUGUUUGGAAUUUCUGCUGUGGUUCAGUCACAAUCCUGCAUGCUCAGAUUUUUGUACCGUUCCCAGGUAUUCAAAUUGUGAUCAUUGCAUGAAGAAUUAUUGCAGUUAUCAUAUUGGCAAAACAAAAGGUUUGUGAUAAGUCCAGUAUACAUUAAUUUCUUAGGUUUACAAAAAUGAUGAGGUGGUUUCAAGCAGGUGUUUUGUAAGCCAUGUAAAGGACUAGCGUUACCAGAGCUCCCUAUAAUUAUGUACAGGUUUCAAACAUUCCUUGUAUAUGUCUUAGAAUAGUCUGUAUACGCACUGGACUACUGAAGGUGACCACGCCGAUGAGUUUGAAAGCUGAUUGUAGGUCCGGUUCCAUAUGAACAUGAUGCUGUAUAAUUAGGCUCAGGAAGUAAAAUCCUAGUGAGUGCUUAGUGCUUAACGUAUGGUGAAGCGCCUUCGGACAAGUAAAAGAACAUCACCUAUUCAACUGUAAGAGCUGUCAUAUAUUUGUUUCAUGCUCAUUCGAUUACGCUGGGGAAUCAAACUAUCUUUGGAAUAGUUGUCACUUUGAUCCAAAAACAAAGAAACGUUUAAACGAAUUCCUGUUAUCGAUGUGAUUUAGUCUAAAUUCCCACACCUAGUGUUGUAUAAAAGCAAAUUAUUGGCAAGGAUUUGAGCCCAAAUGCUCUUUUGCCUUGCCAAAAUGGGCUAAAACUCAAAAGCUGCCGCCCCAAUGCCAAAUUGCCCGACAAAAGUACACCCAAUACAAAAUCUCUAGACACCAAAUUUUCUUGGUCACCCAUGUUCCAAUUUCAAGUUUUUUUGGUUUCGGCAUGCUUUUGACAUGUAGUAGUACUGGUCUACUAGCACGCAGUUGAGCACACUCUCCAUCUGGAUGUUCUUGAAGAGGAUGCCGGAGACGCUGCCCAUCCCGCCUUGCCGUGUCUUGAUUCGGACGCCGUUGUCAGAUUCAUGUUUUAGGAAAUAUUAUAAUAGUUAAAUUAGGUGGGGGUUGAAUUUUUUCAAUGCUAUUAUAUAUACAAGUGACACAUCAAUUGUCACAUAAUGGGAUUUUAGUAAUUAGUUUGAAUCCUAAUCUUUCUGGGCAUGUUUAGGAAGUUGUGAAAAAAGUAGAAAGGAUGUUUUAAGCUCAUUUGAUGAUUGUUCAGAGGAGAAUUCUGGUGAUAGUUCAGAGGAAGUGAAGGUUUAUUUAUUCUUUUAAUCCAAUUGGAAUGUGUUGCAAUAAUAUCAGUCUUUGUGAGAUCAAAUGAAUUACACUUGCCUCUUUCCCUCAAUUUUGUUAUUAAUACAAAAUAGGAUUCAGAUCAAAAUAUAUAUCCUAUCAAAAUAGAAAUAUAUUGUGGUAACAGAAUUAUGAUCUUAUGGGAAAUAUAUAAGUGUAAUUGCAUACUUUUUAACAUGGAGAAAAUUUGAAUUUGUAUUUUAGAAUUAGUGCUCUUCUUAAUGUUCAACUGUCUAGAAAUGAUUUUUGAAAUUGUAUUUUAGAUUUGUGAUUUUGAUUCUGAACAAAGGAACUAUAAUUCCCUUUCUGGAUUCCACAUGUAUAUGAAUAGUAUCACCUAUCGUAUAUGUACAUUUACAAAUUUUACAUGUUCUAAACAGUUUUGAAACUCUUCAACCUCCAUUAUCUUUAUGGAUAUAUUUCCAAAAUAUUUUAAACACCGAAGGCAACGUACAGACACUUUUUCUCCAACUCGGUUACGGGGUACUGUUUAUGACCAGUGGGCGGACUCUUUUGCCCCUCGGUUUCUCCUUGCUCUCCCGCUUUGUCGCCUGCUUCGUACAAUGGAAAGACGCUUUUGCCCAUUCUUUCCACGCGUCCGUCAUCGUUGAUAUAUCCACUUCGAAUUCUCGAGUCUUCUUUUACGUUUAACCCUUUGUUGCUUCUGGUCCUCCUCUGAUUCCUACCUUAUUCUCGCUGUUCUUCUCUAAUUGUUUGUUCCUCUUAAAUAUUGUGGUCUCUGCAUCGGAAAAUAUUGGAGGAAAGUUCCUGCUUUUUGUCCUUUUAAACCUGGGGUUGUGGGUGUUUUGCCCAGCCUCAUAAAAUUGGUCUCUAUUUCUAGAGUUGCGAUCGGAGUGCGGGAUUUCGCAGUUUUUGCGUUCGUUUUCAUCUGGGAUUCACGAAUUUUGGCCGGAUAUGUUUCCUGUCUUCUUCUCCGUUUGAGCGCUGUCCUUAGAUCGUUGAGCGCCGGCUGUCUGUUGAUCGUUGGGAAAUAAAUUUUAUACAACUGAGGUAUGUUUUAUAACUGCUGUCUUUCAGUUUUUUAUUUUGUAUUUUUGUUAGUUUGGAUGAAAAUGUAAUAAUUUUGUUUUGGGUUAGUUGUGGUCUUCAAGAGCAGUGCUCCGUUUGGCGUCGUUUUGAACAUCACAAGGGCCGCCUCCCUCCCCGCCGCUUGCAACGUCUCCUCUCCUUUCGUGGCCGACUGUGGAUGUUUGUCUUUCUUCUCUCCUCCCUUUUUAUUUAUUUAUUUUAUAGAUUUCUUGGAAAUUAAGAUUUGCUGCUUACUUCUUCUUUUUUCCCCAUUUGUUUGUUAUUUUUUCAGUAUCUACCACUCCCGCUGGUGCCCCUGGUAUUUUCUUAUUAUUAUCUUAAUGCUGCUCUGAUAUUUGUUUGUUGUUUUUUUUAGUGCACGAGAUUGAUCUUUGUUUUAUUAUUAUUUUUUCAGCUGGUGUUUAAUCUUUCCUGCUACAUCAAUUCGAAGAAUUGGCUAAUAAAAAAAUUUGGUGAUAGCAGUGACUCGGGAGAUAAGAAAAGAAGCAAAUUGGCGGCACUCCGUUUGUGGUAUCCGUUGUUGCUGGAGGCUCUGCCAGGUAUGCAGACUGUUGACAGAUUUGGACAUUAUAUUCUCUGUCCACUGUUAUUUUAUUACUUUUGUUUUAUGCUUGGAAUUACAUUACAACUAUAUAAAUGUAUCAACACUUUGGGUAGAUGUGGUGAGCCAUGCACGAAUCGUUUGAGAUGCAGGGCUAUUAUAAUUGAAUCAGACCCGGGUCUUAAAAAUGAAUGGAUUGUUAUCCUAUAUGGAUGUUGGUCAACUUAUCUCAAUGAUGCUAAUUUAGGAUUUCAAUCCAAAUUAUAGGGACUGAUAUUUUAGUAAUGUAGUUCAAUCGAAUUUUUGUCCAAUCAUAAAUCAUAAUUCAGUCUGGUGAGCAUUGAGAAUUAAUUUUGUAGUGUCCUUUGGUGAAUCUGACUGUAAAUGCAUUCCAAAAGAUGGAUAAAUGACAAAGCUAAGCUUAAACAAAAAAUAAAUUUGAUUGAAAAAGUAUUGGUAAAACAUAAAAUUGUUAAAGGCUCUUAUGGACUGUUUAAAUUAUACAUCAAACUCUGUUUCGUUUGAGGUCAUCGUGUGGUUUUUGGUUUCUUUGAUUUCUUUCAGUUGCUUUGUUUGUUGUUUGGAGCUAUGGUUAAAAUGCUUAUACAGAUACUUGACACAAAAGGUAAUAGCUACAAUUAGGUUAGUAUUUAAACAUUGAUAACCGUUAAGAAUUAAUUUUAUAAUGCGUUUUGGUGAAUCUAACUGUGAAUGUAUUGUAAGAAGUGAAUAGAUGACAACUGUUUGUAGUAAGUUUUGUCUCAAUCCUUAACAUCAUCUUAUAUCUGAUUGAUUCUUUGUUGGUCUGUGCAUCUAAGAGCUCUUAUUGAUUUUCUUGUCUUCUUUUGUGCAUGUAAGAGCUAUGUACAUAGAUUUUGCAAUUCAUGUAUAGUUUUUCGUUGUUAUGGAAUUUUUAUGUUCCCAUAAAUUUUUUCAUGCGUUUGUGAAUUCUAAAUAAAUGCUGGAUAAAAUUAUUGGCUUAUACGCACUAAUGAAACAUGGCAGCCUUUUAGCUGCCGCCUAAGGAUUUUUUUAAUAAUGAUGUUGUUAAAGCGAUUAUAUGCUCUAUCAAGUAUGUUUUAUAUAUAGUUGUGGUUGCCCAUGUUGGCCGCUCGUCUUUCAUCCUUAAUCUAUCUACCUCGGCUGUCUUCUUCUUCACUUUACCUUUGGUUUUUGUUCUAAUGCUUUGCUAAUAUGUGCUUUUGCUGUCCUUGUCUCACCCUUUGUUUAUCACAAAUCCUUCGUUCCUCUUAAAUAUUGUGUUUGACUUAGAUGUAGAAAUGAGGUUUUAUUAAUUUUUUUGACUUUUCUGAGUUUUGUAACUGCAUUUGUAAAAUCCAGUAUAGUUUUCUAAAGUUCGUUAAGAGUUGAUGUUAUUUUUUUUAUAGGUUUCUGAAAAUCUCAGUAAUUGUGGUUUCAGGCUAUUUCUUCCUACCUUUGGACGCGCUUUGUCCUCAAGGUAACUGACUUAAACUUCUGCAUUUAUUUAUUAAAAGUUUAAUUGUACAGUCUAAGUUUUGUAACUGCAUUUGUAAAAUCCAAUAUAGUUUUUACAAAAUCCCUUCAGCAUUUAAUUAACAGAACAACAUUCACAAUUUCAACCAAAAUUUCAAAAACCACAAGGUAAACUUACAUUUAAAAAUUCAUAAAGAAAGCAAAUUGUAAUUAGAAGCCUGAAUAUAGCUUGUCCUGGACAAAUACUCUUCAAGGGACCAAAAAAACACUUAUCAGUGGAACAACGUUUCAAUCUUUUUUCUUCUAUGAAGCCCCCAUAAUCUUGAUUUACUUUUUGUAGGAUUCUUCGUUUAAAUUUCCAGGGUCUAGGACAAAUUUUCUUUUAAAGUUAUGGAACCUUUUGAUAUGAUUUCAUUUUAUCUAAAUUAUUCAUUUAGUUUUUGAGAUGUUAUAUCAAAAUAUCUAGAUUGACUCGUACUCAUUAGGCCUUUCAGAUUUACGAAGUAGGGGAUUGGGUUGUCAAGAAGCACUAAGUGCUCGAAAGUUUCAAGUAGGCUCAAAAGUUUUCUCCAUCUUUUAAAGUUCUUCAUUUUUCCCCAUUUUUUAUUAUUUUAUGUUUUCUGAUUGAAUUUUUUUGGAUUCCAUGAGUUAGUUAGCUAAAACUACAAGUGAGUUUGUUAAAUUUUGUCUCCAUUAGGCAUAGAUGAACUGAAAGAUAUGAGGCAAAUCUGUGGGACAACAACUGCAAGAAGGGACAAUCAGAAAAAGGAAGGCAAGAUUGGUCAAUAAAAACGAAACAUCAUUCUUACUAUUUGUUUGGAAUUGUUUCUUUUGAACUAAAAUUUUUUUUUUUUUUGGUCCCUACCACUGAAAUCUGAGUUAUGCUAUUAAUUGCUGCUGAGAUCUGACUUAGCUAUUAAUUUUUUACAUUCCAAGUUUAUGUUUGAUUCCAUUCAAAUCAAAUAAUGUAGUUUAUAUUGAUAUGAAUUUUCUCUACAACAAUAGUAAAGGAUUGUAGUUUAAAUUAUCACUGACUUGUUUGUGAUUUAGCAUUGAUUUUCUGUUAAUUUGACCUGGAAGUGGCUAUGAUAUGGAAAAGAAGCUGCAAGAGCUUAUGAUCUUGCUUCAAGAACUUCGUCUACUCAUAUAACUUUCCAGUAGGGUUCAAACUCUUAGUUUUAUGAUUUUGUAAAAGCUUUUUAGUAGCAGAAGUUUCAUUCUGUUGGUCAUUUUGCAGUUGCAUUAGUACACUAUACAGCUUGAGUAGACCAAAAACAUGAGUCAUUAUAUGAUUUUCUGUUUAGGACAUUGCUACUGAAUCUAUGAAUAAGUGUCGCUCGACCAAGAAGCCCUAUUUGAGGUCCAUCUCCAUCUCCACCGCAACCUUAGCUCUUGACUGUGUUAGUGCAGUAUAAUAGUCGUCCUUUUACUUGAUAAAUGUGUUCGGUAUAAUAUUAUAUUUUUCCCAUCUGUUAAUAUGGUUUCGGAGUUCACUAAAAUCCCUUCGAAUUUGCUUCAGUUUUUAUGAGAAGAUGAGGCGGAGGCAGUUGGUGCUACUCUUGGUGUGACCAAGGAAGUUCUUGCGUUCAUUGGGAAUAUCUCUGUGCAUCCGGAGACAUAGCUCGAUUUCCAACGACGAAGAUUCAGAUGGUGUACUCUGCUUCAAUUUGUCAAUUUCUUUGUGUAAUUCAAUUCAGUGUGCUUUGUUUUCAUGAAACUUGUUGAUGCACAAAAUCAGUGAGGAUUUUGGUACAAUAGAAAAUGUUAAGUUUGUGACCUUCGCUAGAUUGCUCCGGUCACUAGUGUGAAUAAGUAUGUAAAUGGAUAGGGACAGGGAAGCAAACACAAGAUGUACGUAGUUCACUCAGAUUGGCUACGUCUACGGAGUAGAGGAGUUCUCAUUAAUUGUUAAGGGUUUACACAAGUACAUAGGUUCAAGCUCUCCUUUAGUGAGUACUAGUGAAUGAUUUAGUACAAAUGAUAUUAGGAAAUAUUGUGAGAGAAUGAUCUCUAUUUAUAAAAGAGAGUUUCUAGUUUCAUUCUGACAUUGAUACUUGUCGUGUUGUGAUUGGCUUCUGAUAUUGACACAUGUUGCGCUAUGAUUGGUUUCUGAUGUCGACACGUGUCGCGCUGUGAUUGGCCUCCUGGUUGGAGGGAAACUUUUCUGGGUCUUUGACGGUAUAACGUUGACCGGUACUCAGUAGUUUCGGGAUUGGUCAAGUAUGGUACAAACAGUGCUCUCAUAAGUUCCCGAGUGAGGGAAGCUCCUCGGUUGGGGACUUGUAAGAUCAAAGACAUUGAGUAAUCACGAAACUUCUCAAUAUCGAAGUGUGGUAUCAUUUUCACUUAUCUUAUAUGUCUCAUAUGUAAAUGUGGCAUCUUUUCUGUAAGUACUUUUCCUCCAUCCAGGGGUGGUAUCUUUAACCAAUGAAGAUGCACAAGGUAAUAUAUCAAUUUCACUUGAAGUUUACUUGUAGUUUCGGGCUUGGUCAAAUAUGGUACAAACCUUAUAGUACGAGUCUUUCAAGUCGUCGAGCUAGGAGAUUUGCCGAAUGAGGUAACAGACAAGGUAAGCAAUCAAACUUCCAAGUAAGCAAUCCGGAUCGGAGGUUCGACUUCGUCUUCCGAUUGAUUGUUCUCUUUCUCCUUGUGUCGUAAACAACAAGUAUAAAGAGAAGCAAAUGGAGAAGAGAUGAUAUGAGAUAUUUUUGUUUUUGAAGAAGUAACUUUCCACAGGCUUAUUCUUGAACUGAGCUGGUGGGUUUUUUGGUUUCCUCUAAAGUAUAAGGCCAACUUAAGAAUUUGAGGGUCAAAACAAGUCCAUCAAAUCUAUAGUACGUUCGACCCUAAUGAUAUGGGAUACUUUUGCUGUCGACAAAGUAGUGGGUGUGGUAUGACGAAGUUUUACUUUUUGGCGACGGUGUUAGCGAAAGGUUGUUGAAACUUCUCGAGUUCUUUGGAUAGGGCAGCGAUGCUGGGUUUGGAAUUGAUUUAGACUUCUCUAUCUGGGUUGUGUGGUUCUAUAGGAAGGGCAUCGUGCUGUAGUGAUCUGUUGUAACUCAUGAUUAAUCAUUCUGCUUCAAUCUCUUACAACAUUUGUCCCCGAUGCAGGAGUGGAAUGCAAUCUUUGCAUUUAAAUGGUCCUUCAGAGCACUACUUCUCAGUGACUCAUCUAUGCGUUGCAGCUUCAGUGUAAAGCGUCAAUAUUGUAUCAACUGUUCUGAGGUAUUUGCCAAAGGACUUCGUGACCUUGACAACAGUUGAAGAUGAGUACUCGAGAGCAAUGCCAGGUAAGUAAUCAGGCAAAGGGUUCCGGCAGUCAGUUCCUGAUCGGAAGUUUGAUUUCCAAGAUUCUGACUGAUUGCUGUUUUUUCUCCUUGUCCUACAGGUAAGAGCAAGGGCAAAGGAAAAGACAGGGAAAAAGCAUGAUAUGGGAUACUCUUGUUUUUAACCCUGAUGAUAUGAAAUACUCUUGCUCUGAUGUGGCUUGUUUGCAUAAGUAUUAUCGAGGGAGGGGGAAAGAAGCUGAGUAUCUCGAGAGACUCUGCUAGGAGUGCCCUCUCAGAUGUGAAUAAAAAUUGAGCAUUUUUUUUUUUAUUUGCAGGUAUGCCUGGCUGUGGAGGAUGAAGGUCGACAUAUAUAGGAAUUGUCCCUAACAACAAGUAGUAACGUUAUUCCUUUACCCUUCUUGGUCAUAGCAGUGUAGUAGGAGCUGCAAGAUUCACAUGUUUUGACUUUGUCAGAGCACUUUGAAAAAGUGGUUUGUGGUAUCGGUAAAGCUGAUGUUGCGUGUGAAGAUUGUAGAUAAGCUUUAUCCAAGGAAAUCUGGCUCUCGAAGUUCGGAGAGCGGUGCCUCUUCGGUUUUCGAACAAGCAAUUCUGUCGGGGAUCUGGCUCUCGAGAUUCAGAGAACAGUGCCUCUUCGAUUUUUGAGAUAACAAUCUUGUUGGGAGUCUGACUCUUGAGAUUCGGAGAGCUGUGCCUCUUCAAUUUUUGAGCAAGUAAUCUUGUUGGUAGUCUGGCUCUCGAGAUUCAGAGGGCGGUGCCUCUUUGAUUUUUGAGCAAGUAAUCUGGUUGGGAGUCUGGCUCUCGAGAUUCGGAGAGUGGUGCCUCUUCGAUUUUUGAGUAAGCAAUCUUGUUGUGAGUGUUUUCUCGAAUGUGAGUAAAGGUUGGACAUUUUUGCCAGUCUGCCUUGCCACAGAGCACGGAGGUUGACACACAUAAGGACUUUCCAGUUAUCAAGCAGUGGUGCUGUUCCUUUACCCUUGUGGGUAAUAGUAGAGUAGCUGGACCUUCAAAAUUUAUGUAUCUAAACUUUGUUAGAGAUCUUUGGUAAAGUUAUCUGUUGUACCCGAGGAGUUGAUAUUGCGUGUCGAGGGUGGUACCUCUUCGAGAUCCGAAGAGUGGUGCCUUCGAUUUUUGAACCAACGGCCAUGUUGCCCUUUCUUUUAUAAGGGCACCAAUUGUGUGCAAGAAGUACAUUCAGAGAGUUAUUGUUUGUAGGAAUUUUUCCUCUUAUUUUUUGUAUUUCAGAGAUUUAUUGCACCUCAUUUCUCGUUCAUCAUUUCUGAGAAUGUCUGGCCCAUCCGACCGUCGUUUUGACUUGAACUUUGGUGAAGAGGCAGCCAUGCCUUCUCAAGACAACAUAUGGCGCCCAUCCUUCUUAUCCCCUACUGGUCCUCUUACCGUUGGGGACUUUGUGAUGAAGAAUGAUAUGACCGCUGCAGUGGUGGCCAGGAACCUUCUCACUUCCAAAGAUAACAGACUACUUUCCAAACGGUCUGAUGAGUUGGCUGUUAAGGAUUCUCUGGCUCUUCAGUGUUCAGUGUGCAGGUUCUGUGUCUAAUAUGGCCCAACGCCUAUUUGCUCGAACCCGCCAAGUUGAAUCAUUGGCGGCUGAAGUGAUAAGUCUCAAACAGGAGAUCAGAGGGCUCAAGCAUGAGAAUAAACAGUUGCACAAGCUCGCACAUGACUAUGCUACAAACAUGAAGAGGAAGCUUGACCACUACAGGAAUCUGAUGGUCAGAUUUUACUUGAUCAUCAGAGGUUUGUGGGUUUGUUCCAAAUGCAUUUAUUGCCUUCGUCUUCUGGGGCUGUACCGCGUAAUGAAGCUCCAAAUGAUCAACCUUCAGUGCCUCCUCCUUCUGGGGUUCUGCCCUAGUACUGAUGCUCCGAAUGAUCACCUUCCGGUGCCUACUCUUUUUGGGGCUCUACCGACUGCUGAGACUUCUCCUGAGCAACCUUUUUGAAGACUCUCUUGUUUGUUUAUUUUGAUUCAUGUAUAUGUACAUAUUUGUAACUUAUCGGAGAUAUCAAUAAACAAGCUUUGCUUCAUUUCAACGUAUUGUGUUAAAUACACCAAAGGCCUUCUUCACUAAGUUCUUUGAAUUUUUCUUUUGUUGAAAUUUGUAUGUUGAAGCUUUGUGAGUAAAGCAUGUAUGUUGCGGUAGUGCUCCUUUAAUUUCCCGAUUGAGGAAAACUUAUCGGUUGGAAACUUGAAAAAAUCCAAGUCACUAAGUGGUCGUGAGACUUCCGAGUAUCAAGGUGCAGUAGCACAUGGUAGGAGUCUCCCAAGUCUACGGUCAAGGGAGUUGACGAAUGAGACAUUUCCUUUCUAAGUGGUAGCCCAAAACUCCUUUAUAUAUAUUUGUUAUGAAAGUUGUUAAGUUCAAAGAAUAAGAGGUCUAGGCAAUUUUUUUUUUUUAAUUUUUGAAUUUUCGAAAAUAUAUAUAUAUAUUUAAACUCUGUAGGUGAAAUUUUGGUGUUGAAGUUUUGUAUGUGAAGUUUUGAGGUUGAAACUUUGUUGGGUAACAUAAAUUGAUUUUUCUUCACACUAUCUUGAUCAAGGUAGUGUGAAGCUUUUGUGUUGAAGCUUUGUAGGUGAAGUUUUUGUGGGUCAAGCUUUUGUUGGUGAAGUUUUUAUGGAUGAAGCUUUUGUGGUAGGUGAAGUUUUUGUGGCGGGUGAAGCUUUUAUGGGUGAAGUUUUUGUGGGUGAAGUUUUUGUUAGUGAAGUUUUUAUGGGUGAAGCUUUUGUGGUGUGUGAAGCUUUUGUGGUGGGUGAAGCUUUUGUGGGUGAAGCUUUUGUGGUGAGUGAAACUUUUGUGGGUGAAGUUUUUGUGGUGAGUGAAGCUUUUGUGGGUGAACCUUUUGUUUGUGAAGCUUUUAUUGGUUAAGCUUUAGAGUUGAAGCUUUUGUUAGGUACCAUGAAUUGAUUUUACUUCACACUAUCUUGAUCAAGAUAGUGUGAAGCUUUUGAAAAUUUAUAGUUAUUCUUCGUUGAUGAAACUUUGUUGAAUUUCCUAAUUUUUUUUUUUUUUGGAAAAACUAGAAAUUUGUUGAAUUUUUUUUUUUUUUUUGGAAAAAUUAGAAUUUUAAAAAUGUGGAAGAGACAGCAUAUACAAAUUUUGCUUUCAUACUGUUGAGCAAGAGAUUGUGAUACAAGUCAUACCUUGUAGUAGUCGAAGGUUUAGACGAACCAUAUAAAUUGAAUUUGCUUCGAAUAGUCUUGAUCAAGAGUGUGUGAAGCUUUCUACGAGUUGUGGUUGUUCUUUAUUGAUGAAGUUUUUGUUGGCAUCAUAAAUUGGUUUUGCUUCACACUGUCUUGAUCAAGAGUGAAACUUUUGAGAAUUCUGGUUGAACUCUUUGGUUUUGCUUUACACUGUCUUGAUUAAGAGUGAAGCUUUUGAGAAUUGUGGUUGAACUCCUUUCAUGAAGCUCUUGUUGGCACCAUAAAUUGGUUUUACUUCACACUGUCUUGAUCAAGAAUGUGUGAAGCUUUUGAGAAUUGUGAUUGCCCUUCAUUGAUGAAGCUUUUGUUGGCAUCAUAAAUUGAUUUUGCUUCACACUGUCUUGAUCAAGAGUGUGAAGCUUUUGAUAAUUGUGGUUGAACUCCUUUGAUGAAGCUUUUAUUGACACCAUAAAUUGGUUUUGCUUCACACUGUUUUGAUCAAGAGUGUGAAGCUUUUGAGAAUUAUGGUUGCCCUUCAUUGAUGAAGCUCUUGUUGGCACCAUAAAUUGGUUUUGUUUCACACUAUUUUGAUCAAGAUAGUGUGUGAAGCUUUCUACGAGUUGUAGUGUUUGCAUUGUUACAGAGGAGAAAUGUCUGAAGUAGAUGCAAAAGGGCUGAAUAGCUUGAUCUUCGUAUAACAUGCACUAAAGUUGUUGGCUUGUAAUAAGACUUUAUUGGUGACUAUAACUCUUGUUGGGUAUAAGUGCUCCCCUAGUUGAGUUGUCAAGCCUGAGGGUUUUUUAUUAUUUGUGAAUGCUAGAAGUUCACAUGUACAAGUUGUACCACUUGUCUUCUGGUAGGUGGAAUGAAUAGUGAGUUGAUUUCAUCACUUGGUUAGUGGUAUGAAUGUGAGUUCCUACAUCACAUUUCAUCACAUGGUUGGUGACACGAGAAUGAGUUACUUCUUCACCUGGUUGGUGGCAUGAAGGGCAAGUUGCCAAAUGUUAUUAGAGUACGGGUUGUACGUUUCAUCACCUGGUUGGUGACAUGAAGGAAAGUACGGGUUGUAUAUUUCAUUACCUGGUUAGUGGCAUGAAGAUGAAUUCAUUCUUCACCUGGUUGGUGGCAUGAGUGGCAAAUUGCCAAAUGAUAUUAGAGUACGGGUUGUACAUUUUAUCACCUGGUUAGUGGCAUGAAUGAGAGUACAGGUUGUACAUUUCAUCAUCUAGUUGGCGGCAUGAAGAUGAGUUCAUUCUUCACCUGGUUGGUGACAUGAGUGGCAAGUUGCCAAAUGAUAUUAGAGUACGGGUUGUACAUUUCAUCAUCUGGUUGGUUGCAUGAAGGAAAGUACGAGUUGUACAUUUCAUCACCUGGUUUGUGGCAUGAAAAUGAGUUCCUUAUUCACAUUUCAUCAUCUGGUUGGUGAGAAUAAGGGCAAGGUGUUGAGGCACAUUGUAGCAAGUGUCGAAUGACACGAAGUAUGUUGAACCCUUUCAAAGCACAAUUAACCUAUGUAUGAAUGUGUUGGAAUGUAUGAUUGAACAAAUAUACUGUGACUUUGUUUCAUGUUGAAAGCAUUCAUGUUGAAGCUUUGAACACGAGUGUUUCAUUGCUCGGAAUGUAAGAGGAUUAGGACCGAGUUGUCUAAAUCACCUCUUUAUUGAAUUCAUGCUAAAUAGUCUUCGUUACAUAGGAUGUCGAACGGCUGAAGCUUAACACUUGUACAAUGUGAGUUUACUUAUAAUUGUACUUCAAGUGAUCAGCAUUCUAUGGAUGGCCAAGGGUCUUGUCAUCGGAGCUUCUAAGCUUGUAGGAACCAGGGCGGCUGAUGUCAAUAACUUCAAACGGUCCAUCCCAGUUUGGACUAAGUGUUCUUUCACUCGGGACUCUGUCGCAGAGUAAUCUUUUCUUCAAUACCCAAUCUCCCACUUUGAAAAAAUGAGGUUUGACCUUUGAGUUAUAGUAGUUGGAGAUGCGCUGCUUGUAGGCGACAUUCCUCAAGUGAGCCUGGUUUCUAUGUUUUCGACUAGAUCUAAGUUGAGGGUAAGUUGUUUGUCAUUUUCGCUUUACACGUACUUCUGGAUUCGGAACGUUGCUUGUUCAAGCUCAACUAGGACAACUGCCUCUGUACCAAAGACAAGUGAGAAUGGGGUUUCUCCUAUUGAUGUCCGAUACGAAGUGCGGUAUGACCAAAGAACUUGGGGUACAAAUUCUGAUCAAUAACCUUUAACCUUGUCCAAGCUAGUUUUCAAAGUUCGCUUGAUUAUUUUGUUGAUGGCUUCAACUUGUCUAUUAGACUGGGGAUGAGCUGGGGAGGUAAAACAUAAGUUGAUGUUGAACUUAGAGCAAAACAUCCUGAACUUAUUGUUGUCGAACUGUUGCCCGUUGUCAGUGACUAUCGCAUUGGGAAUGUCGAAUCGGCAAAUGAUGUUCUUCCAUACGAAGUCUUCUAUUUUUGCCUCAGUAAUGGUUACCAAAUGUUCUACUUCGGCCCAAUUUCUGAAGUAGUCAACCGCAAUAAUUGCAUAGCAGACCUUGCAUUUCCCUGUAUGCAUUGGGCUGAUCAAAUCAAGUCCUCAUUGGGCGAAGGGCCAAUGGCUGAUCAUAGGAGUGAGCGACUCGGGAGAGGAGUGAGGAAUAGUUGUGUAACGUUGAAACUUAUCACAUGAGCAAGAUAUUCUGAUGGCAUCUUGGUGGAGUGUUGGCCAGUAAUAUCCUUGGCGAAAAGCCUUGUGUGAUAGGGAUCGAGAUCCAACAUGAUCUUCGCAGCUUCCUUCAUGUAUUUCCCGAAUUACAGUUUUCGCCUCUGCGUGCGUAAGGCAUUUUAGGUAUGGUAUGUUAAAACCCUGCUUGUAGAGUUGGUCAUUAAUGAUCAAGUAACGGGUAGCUUUGUAUCGAAUAUGCUUAGCAUGGACUUUAUCAUCUGGGAGGGUGUCAUGAGCAAAGAAUCUAUAAAUCGGGGUAAUCCAACUAUCCUCCUGUUGUAAGUUGCACACUUCCGCAGCCAUGGUGCUUGGUGCUGCCAACAAUUCGACCUAAAUUUUUCUCUCAAUCUUGUCUUCCACCGUUGAGACGAGGCGAGCUAAAGCAUCUACAUGACUGUUUGCCGCUCGAGGAAUUUGGGUGAUCUGGUAGUGGAAGUGUUUGAGCAACAAUUGUGUUUAUGCCAGAUAUGCUGUCAUGGAGCUAUCUUUGUCAAUGUUGUUGGUGACCUGGUUAACCACCAAUUGGGAGUCACUGAAGAUAUCAAUUCGUUUAACCCCAAGGUAUUUGGCCAAACGUAAGUCUGCUAGGAGGGCUUCAUAUUCGGUCUCAUUGUUCGACACCUUGAAUUUGAAACGAAAAGCAUACUCUAUCGCCAUUUUGUUAGGGGUCGUAAGGACUAGUCCUGCUCUACAACUCUGUUGGUUGAACGAGCCAUUAACAUAUAGACUCCAUGUUGGGGCUGUUGGUUCUAUUUUCUGAGCUUCCGAAGGUAAUGAAACCACUUCUUUAGGCAUAGAAACAAUGUCAACAAGAUAUGUGAAGUCGGCGAUGAAGUCUACCACUGCUUGGCCCUUCUCAGCUGGCUUUGGUUGGUAGGAGAUGUCAAACUUACCCAAUGCUAUCACCCAUUUGAUCAUUCGCUUGGAAGUGUCAGGACUUUGGAGUAUCUAUCGAAGGAUGAUUGGUAAGCAUAAUGAUAGAGUAUGCUUGGAAGUAAAGGCAAAGUUUUCGAGCAUACAUGACCAGUGCUAAAGCCAAUUUCUCAAUGUCAGAGUAUUAUGUCUCUGCAUCUUGUAAAGCCUUGCUAGCAUAGUAGACAAAUCGUUUGACAUUACCAUCUUUUCGAAUAAGAACGGAACUUACUGCUGAAGCUGAUACCGAUAGAUAGAUAAUGAGAAUGUCACCAACCUCAGGUUUGGAAAGCAAAUGGGCUUUACUCACGUAGUCCUUGAGGUUCUUGAAUGCCUCAGCACAUUCAUCAGUUCAUGUAAUGUACUUCUUACUUCCCUUAAGUGCUUUGAAGAAAAGAGCACAUCUAUCUGUGGCCUUAGAGAUGAACCUAGUUAAGGCUGUCACCUUGCCAGUAAGGCUUUGGAUGUCUUUUGAAGUUACCGGUUCCUUCAUGUCGAGGAUUUCUUUGAUCUUCUCAGGAUUAGCCUCAAUGUCUCGUUGGCUUAUCAUAAAGCCUAAGAAUUUUCCAAAGCCUACGCCGAAGGCACAUUUGUUGAGGUUCAACCUCAUUCGAUACCUCUUCAGAAUGAUGAAAGUUUCAGAUAGGUUGGUGAUGUGUUGGUCAGCAUGUUUGCUCUUGACUAGCAUAUCAUCAUCAUAAACUUCCAUGCUCUUCCCAAUCUGUUCAGCAAACAUUGAAUUGACUAGUCUCUGAUAAGUCGCUUCUGCAUUCUUUAGGCCGAAGGGCAUGACUUUAUAGCAAUAUAGUCCCCUGUCAGUAGUGAAGGCUGUGUGUUCUUAGUCCGAAAGGUUCAUGAGGAUUUUGUUGUAUCCUGAGUAAAUAUCCAUGAAGUUCAGGAGUUCACACCCUGUCGUAGAGUCUAUAAGUCUGUCAAUAAGAGGAAGAUGAAAGCUAUCAUUCGGGCAUCUUUUGUUUAAGUUGGUGUAGUUGAAACACAUUCUUCACAAGACCUUUUGGAGCUGAAGACUUUCUUUGGUUAGAUUUUUCUUAACAAAGACUACAUUUGCUAUCAGGAAAGAUGUCUGGAAUAUCCUUGUAUGACCAGGCGAAGACCUCAGUGUUCUCUUGCAAAAAAGACAUCAAUGUCAACCGAAUGAGUGGUGACAAGGUGGUGCCAAUCUUCACCAUGCGAUCUGGAUAAUCUUUUAAGAUAGAAACCUUCUCCAACUUUUCAGCGGGUUAUGCUUGUUGGGUGAAAGAGUCGUCUCGAGGAUCGUCAGGUUGAGUGUUGCCACCAUGAAGAUCCAAGUUGGCUUCGUCCGGGCUGGUCUUUAUGACUUGGUCAUGUAUAGAAAGGGUUUCCUUGGGCACAGGCAGGUGUUGUUGCUUGACCGAAGUUUUGUAGCAUGAACGUGCACUAAGUUGAUCUUCUCUGAUGUAACCAUUGCCAUAGGGGGUUGGAAAUUUCAUCAACAACAUAUAUGUGGGUACCAUGGCCUUGAGAUCAUUGAUGUCUUUGCGUCCAAAGAUGACAUUGUAUGCCAUUGGGCAAUCAACCACCAGGAAGUUAGUGGUAAUGGUAGUUGUGUAAGGGCAUGUACCAAUGGUGAAAGGUAAGUGUAUGUUCCCUAAAGGUUGCACGAUAUUACCGGAAAAGCUUAUCAGAGGAGAAAUCGAGCGAUCGAGCAAGUGUUCAGCUACAUUAAGUGCCCUGAAAGCUUCAGCAAACAUGAUAUUGAUCGAAGCCCCCAUGUCUACUAGGAUUCGUCGUACUUCAAAGUUGGCUAUGUGAGCUUCCACAAUCAGUGAGUCAUUGUGAGGGUAGAUGAUACCACUUUCUUCCUCAGGGUAGAAACAUAUUGGAUCCCAGUUAGGCUUUUGACACUUGCCUCCCCUGAUGUCUUCUACGUGAAACACUUGGUGACCAGGCCUUAAAGCUCGUUCGCUGUUUUUCAUGGCUCUGUUGGAAGAUUCAGAUAUGGGUGUGCUGCCGCUUAUGGAAUAUAUCACAUUCACUUGGUGUUGGUUAUGGUUAUCCCUUAAAGGGUGAAGGAGGAAUUGAUCAAUUUUUUCUUCACGCGCCAAAGCUUCAAUAUGAUCACGAAAGGUGAUACAUUUCUCACCGUCAUGGCCGUUAUGUUCGUGGUAACAGCAAAACGUGCAUGUGUUCUUCGUGGGCUUGUAACCCGAAUGCCUCGGCAUUGGCUUCGAUAUCAGAUGUGCUAUGCUGGGGUAAAUGACCACGCAUGUGGUGUUCAAAGGUGUGUAUGUCUCAUACAUCGGGGUAGGGCCUGUCUUGACACGUGUUUGGCCUACUAUGUUGACUAUCUGGGGAUGGGCAUUAUCAUGGCGAUACCCUUGGUUAUCACGAUAGUGUCCCUUAUUCCUUUUACUAAAAUGAGACUGGUGAUGAUGGAAAUCUUUCAUUUUUCCCUAAGAUUGAUAUGUCUUUUGACUUGGCAAAGUAUUAAGUAAGGCAGGGGGAGGCACCGCUGCCGUUUAGAAGGUUGAAGUAUUCUCAUUUGGUUGAAUCUGGCUUCCACUCCUUACUUGCUGAUAAGGGGUGGCUGUGGGGGGUUUCCCUUGAUAUGUCCUUGCCUCGGUGGAGGCAUGGUUGUAAGCAUGUACCAUCACCUCAGAGUAAGUCUUCCAAUUGUUGGCAUUGAUUAUGUACUUGAAGAAACAAUCACGUAGGCCUUGAGGGUAGUCUUGUCAUCUGCCUGAGCGCAGCAAGAAUACUCAUGGCUGAAGCGACCGACAUACUCUCGUAGUGACUCAUCCUGCUUCUGGCGAAUAGUGUACAAGUCAUCUGCAGAAUGCAAGCGAUCGAUCUGGAAGAUGUGUUGAGAGAUAAACAGUUUCCUUAGUUCCUCAAAUAAGUCUACUGUCUCAGGUGGAAGACUGCAAUACCAGUUUAGAGCUCCGGCAGAGAGGGUAGAGGGGAAGAAAAGACAUCACUCUUCGUCGGUGUGCAUCUGAUAUGCCAUGGUGGACUCAAAGAGGUUAAGGUGUUCAAUUGGGUCAUCCCUUCCAGUAUAGAGUUGUAAACCAAGCUUUUGUUUUGUCUUCGCUUGAAGAGGGUGUCGAGAAUCCUCCUUGUGAGAGGGCCAGGCCUGGGUUGGUUCCAGUUAGGUAUCUCGGCCUGACGUUCGACCUUCAACUUGUUUACUUCCUCAAAGAGCUAUAGGAUAAGGAGGUCCUGAGUGGAGUCAUGUACCACUGGAAUUUUAUUUCGUAAGUCUCCAUCGCCUUUUGGAAGUAGGAAAGUUUGAGCAAAAGCGUGUGGUUUUUCUUUGGGCUCACCGUACUGACUUCUAGGGCGAGUCUAUCGGAAUACCUCAAAGUCCUUUGUACCUUCAUGUUCCUCUGGGACCUGUCAUUCAUUUCCUAUAUUGGCAGCUGGCCUGGGUCAUGGGAGGGGACCGAGUCUUUCAGAAACCCUUGGGUCAUUGAUCUUCGAGCAUAUGUGGAGGGGAUUCUCUCGAUGUUGCGUUAGGAAGUCUCAGCAGUCACGAUAAACGACUUUUGAUCCUUCCAACCCUUCUGCAAGGAGGUGUUUUCCUCCACUUCUCCUGCUUCGGGUCGAAGCAGCUGGGUUGAGAGAAUUCUCAUGUUAAUCAAUGUUUUGAUGAUUAGCUCGCUCUUCAUUAGGGAUACCCACGUCGAAAGAAGAUUACCCUUCGUGUUGGGGGGCACCCAGAUGAUGGUUGAUGUCCACAGGGGCAACGAGCUCAUGUGUUUGAGUAUGACUAGUUUCGUGGAGCGUCUCAAAGAGCUUCUCAUACUGCUGAAGGACCUCAUUUUUCAUUGCUAUCUUGUUGUUCUAAGCUUCUAGCUCAUCGACUUUAGCUUGAAGAGCAACCCUUUUUCCUUCAUUCUUUCGUUGCUUCGCACUAGGUGUAAGAUGGGUGUCAUUAUGUGUGAUGUGGCUUCCUUCGCUCCCCAUGUUGGAGAGGGAUGCCUGGUCAAAAGAGAGUGUACGAAUAGUGAAAACCAGCUUGGCAAAGCUGAAGAGAGUGGAAAUAAGUGUCGUUCCCACAGAUAGCAUCAAAUGUUGAUGUACAAAAUCAGUGAGGACUUUGGUACAACAGAAAGUGUUAAGUUUGUGACCUUCACUAGAUUGCUACGGUCACUAGUGUGGAUAAGUAUGUAAAUGGAUAAGGACAAGAAAGCAAACACAAGAUGUACGUGGUUCACCUAGAUUGGUUACGUCCACGGAAUAGAGGAGUUCUCAUUAAUUGUGAAGGGUUUACACAAAUACAUAGGUUCAAGCUCUCCUUUAGUGAGUACUAGUGAAUGAUUUAGUACAAAUGACAUUAGGAAAUAUUGUGAGAGAAUGAUCUCUAUUUAUAGAAGAGAGUUUCUAAUUUCAUUCUGACAUUGACACGUGUCGUGUUGUGAUUGGCUUCUGAUGUUGACACGUGUCGUGCUAUGAUUAGCUUCUGAUGUCGACACGUGUCGCGUUGUGAUUGGCCUUUUGGUUGGAGGGAAACUCUUCUGAGUCCUUGACGGUAUAACGUUAAUCGGUGCUUAGUAGUUUCGGAAUUGGUCAAGUAUGGUACAAACAAAACUAAAUACAUAAUAAUGAUACUAAUAUUCAAUUCUCUGGACGCAUGUGCUUCUUUUUGUGAUAUAGCACAUUCGAUAAAUAAUAAAGUUGUAGAUUUGCACAUUAGAUAAAACAUCCCUUCUUCCUUUUGCCGACAAGCCGAAUGAUUAUGAACUAACAAUCCUUUUAGCAAUAUUUUUGCCAAUUAUUUUUUGCUUUUUCAGUUUUCUAAUUUAGAUUAAAAAUUUAAGGAUCUGUUUGGUAUUUGAUUUGGGUCUUAUUUUUUAACUCAAAAACAAGUUUUGAGUCAUGAAUUUAAAGUUCUUGUUUGGUAUUUGAUUUGGAUCCAAUUCUCAAACCCACAACUCAAUUUUUUUUCAAAACAAAGCCUUUUCGUUGAACAAAAAGUGUGUUUUUAGACUUUUUGGAUCUUCUCUCACGUCUGUCUCUCUCCCAAUCUCCUACGUCUGUCUCUCUCCCAAUCUCCUAUCUUCCCUUUUGCUUCUUAGAUCCUCUCUCUGAUCUCUCGUCUCAAUUGGAUCCCCCAUACCAACCACCAGUGGUGCAGCCACGUCGAACGUUGGAACCUGCACGGAGAAUCUCCGCCAUUGAUUUCGACUACCAAGUCCUGGAAUCCAACCCAAAGCCAUCCUCUAUUUACAGGACCAAUAUCGUUUGUUGGGCGAGAAUGUUGCCAAGAUCAGAACCGAUUUCAUGAAGGAGCAUCUUACCAUUUUCCGAACCCACUUGGAAGCUUUCGCUCGAAAGCAGUAGGUCCCAUUUUUCUUCUCAGUCAAUCAAUUUCAGUACGAAAUAACCCAACUUUCAGAUCAAAAUUUCAUAUAUGCACGAAGGUGGAGUGAGAGAGAUGAUAACAAUGAGUUCAUCAAUGUUGGGCCUGGGUGUUCAAAUUUGUUUCUUUUUUGAAAGAGCAUGGUAGAAAUUUUGAUUAGUUUGAGACGCAAAAAUUGCAUACCAAACAAGAUUUUGGAUUUAAAAUUUUUAAAUCAAAACAUGAGUUUUUAGAAGAAAAAAAAUAAAAAUUUUGAGUUCAGUUUUCAAUUAAGAUACCAAACGGGUCCUAACAUUCUUGAGUGAGUUUCAAUCAUAAAACAUACUUAAUUUAGGUCUUCAAUUAAGUGAAAUAUUAACAUGUUUCUGUACUCCCAUUGUCGAAAAUGCAGUGUUGACGACCUGAAUUUGUAUGGCAUUGAAAGCCUUUAGUGUCGUAAUUUAGUCACAUGUUCAGCAGAUCAUUCUUCAGAUAACUUUGUUAAACUUUGUCAUCAGUAAAUUUAUUCUGAAUAGAGAAUCAUUUUGAUCUUAAGGAUGACAUUUAGAUAUCCCUUGCAGCAUUUUCCUUUAGUAGCUCAAAUAAUCUCAUAUCAUCAAGUGGAGUUGCAUGUUUGACGAGGCAUAUUUAUAGUUAUUAAGGACAUAAGUUUAGUUAUGCCUUUCCAGUAAAGACCGUACCGAGCUUUCAUGAUUCUUGAUUUUCUUUUUACAUCCUUUCAGAUUAGAUUGGUUUAGCCUUCCAAUGUAAAGAGGGCAAUGCCAUGCCCUAAUUGUCUAAAAAUCGAGAAAGCUCAGUGGCUUUAUUCUAAUGGAUGGAGUUCAUUUCCGGAAUUUAGCAUGGAUGAGCGGACACAUGAUGAGGAUCUCUAUGGUCUAAGUGAUUCUGAAAUGGUAAAUGGUUUAGAUCCUUUUUUUUAAUUUUGAACUUCUAAUGUUCUGUUACUUUUGUGGACAUUCAAUUUUUGCUGCAUUUGACCGGAUAUCAUUCAGCAUUUAGAUGCAGGGUCAUACAUACAUUUUUACAUGCCAUAUAUUUUUGUGGAAUACGCAUAUAUGAUAAUGCCUCCUUUCACACAGUAUGAACGAAAAUAGAUGAACGAAGAUUUAUUUAUAUUAAGUGUUAAUGUAUUUAUUGAAAUGUUUUUUUUUUCAAAUUUUUUUAGACUGAGGAGGCCGAACAGUGGCUAAAGUACCUCUAAUCUGUUCAAAUGGCUACAGCUCAUGUCUCUAAGCUUUGCUUCCACACAAUACAUUUAAUGUCACAGCCCGUUCCGGGAUUUUAUAUAUCGGGGACGUAAAAUGACGAAAUUACCCUUGACGGGUAUUAAGGUAUGUGUAUGUGUGACAUAUCUUUUGGACUAAAUACAUUUAUUCAUAAGUUUUUAUAAAACUAUUAAGUGGGAUUAAAAUGUUGGUUUGUAAUUUAUGUGGUUAGGGAGUUAGGAAAAAGAAAUGGAUGGUGAGGGGUUGUGAUGGACCACACACACACUUCCUUCCAUCUCUCAUUCCCCCGUGUCUCUCUCUCUCCUCCCUCACGGCUUCCUCUCUCUCUCCCUCUCGAAUUGUACAGACAAGCUAGGAACCUCCUAUUUCUUCACGGAUCGAAGGUUCUAAGGUAAGAUUUGAACUCCUAGUAAGCUUGUGAGUUCGUAUAUGUGAUUUGUGGAAGUUAAAACCCUCAGAAUCGUCGUGAAACCCUAACCCCGAAAAUGUGCAUUGUUCAUGCACAUGUAAAAUCUUGCAUUUCAGGGAAUUUCAAGCUCAUAGUGAGCUUAAGGAGAUCCUCACGAGCUUCGGGGUACUUCGUUGGUAGAAUUUGGACGUCGGAGGACUUAGAACAGAGUUUUUCAAAUUUGGCCGGAUUAUCGAGCUUUCUCAGGUAAAAUCUAGUGGAUUUUAGACCUUGAAACUAGCCUAUCAUGAUUCUACAUGUUGAGGGCUUCAAAUUGAUAUGAAAUACGAAGAAAACGGUUGAGAAAUGAGGGAGAACAAGGGGAUUGAAAAAUCCCUAGUUUUCGGCCACCGGAAAACACAGUCCUGCGAACCAAGGAAGAAGACGCGCUUGGGGGGCGCGUGUACCCGUGCCUGCCCUGGCGCGUGGGGGUGCGUGCCACGUCAAAAAAAAAAUCUAAAAAUUUCACGACGUCCGUGACGUCGAGUAGGUCGAUGUGGUAUAUUCAUAUACCCAAAUUGAGCACCGUAUGAGAAGUUAUUUCGAAUUGUUGGUUAUGUGCAUUAAUUAACGUUUUUAUAGUUGUUUCGCAUAUAGGUGACACCUAUCCCGAGGACGAGCGCAUCCAGAGACGUCACGGGGGCUACGACCCAUCGACUUAACAGUGAGUAGGCAGUUUUGUUUUCGUAUAUACCUAUAUACUAUUAAUUUUCCCAGAAAUUGAAUUUAUAUGAAAGUAUGUUUUCAAUUGCCAUGCAUGCAUAUUAUGAAUUGAUAUUAAUGCAUAUAUAUGUGUGAAAUGGUGUUUUGGACGCACAGAUGAGUAUCAGGUGAGUUUUAUGUUAAUCAUGGGAAUCAUUGAUAAUGUGAAUUGUGUUGAGAACUCAUAAUCUGCACCCUUGGAGUUAGUGCUUAUAUUAUUCACCGCACCGCACGCUCACCUUGGAUCCAAGUAGGUGCAUGUCGUACAGACCCCGAGAGGGUUCCGACAUGCUAGUCGUACAGACCACUAGAGGUGAUUCCGACUAGUAGGUGACCUUAGAUUACGCACGCAGAUGAUUGAUGAGAGAAGCACUAGAGCGUAUUAUUUCACCAUCAUAGUCGUACAGACUACUAUAGGUAGUUCCGACUUAUGUGCAGUGUAGUGCCGUACAGGUCACAGUUGGUGACUCCGGCAGGGCCGUACAGGUCACAAUGGGUGACUCCAGCUGGAUGGGAUAUUGAGCUAUAGAAUCAGCCGUACAGGACCAUUGUAGGGUCUCCGGUUGAUUUAUUAUUUCACCUGAUUUAUAUUGAUGCAUUCAUAUUAUAUUUUGGCAUGGCGUGGCAUCUUCUUUCUGAAAAGCGGUGAAGGAUUGUGAGUUGAGCUUUUGAUGAUAUAUAUAUGUUUAUAUACUAUUUUUCUGGGAAAGUAUACAGGUUUUACAGUGAGAGGUUAGAAAUGUUUUAAAUGAAAUGUUUUGGAAAGCUUUGGUUUUACUGACCCACUCAAUUUUGUUUUUGCGCCCCUCCAGGUUCUAGCUAGCAGUUGGUGGCUCACGAGGUUCUCUUCGGCAUUCUGACAGACACCCUGCAUGUAGGACUCACCUACGGGUGUUGUAAUUUAAUUAUAGUCCUACUUGACUGCACCUAAUACCUACGCUCUGAAUUGUGUGUUUUACUAUAUAACUCACUCUAGCACGCUAGUUGGUUUUACUGUUAGUAGUUGGUUUUUAUUGCUUCGUAUUUAUUAUAUCCUUUGCUUUCGUAUCGCACUUUUGGUUACGUCACACUCACGUGACGGCCAGCAUGCCCUGAUUUCUGGGUCGGGAUGUGUCAGUUUGGUAUCAAAGCCUAGGUUGCAGUCCUGUAUAAUUGUUAAUGCUCUCAUGAUCUUUUGAUGUUUUCUGUUAGAAUUAUGCCGCCUCGUAAGGAGUCACGCCGUGCUUCUAAACCUAAUUUCCCUGAUAUAACUCAGUUGGGGGAAGCGAUAGCCUAGGCCUUUCAGAAUGCAAUCCGCCCUCCUCCUCCUCCUCAGAGGACACCCCUGGAGACUAUGUAUAAUCUGAAAUUGGAUCGUUUCAUGGGUAAUGAAGGUCAUGAAGGGGCAGAAAAAUGGCUAGACCAUAUUGAGAUGACUUUUCAGGUGAUGCAAAGUCAAGGAAAUUUUCCUGCUAAUAGAUGGGUUGAGACCACUACUUGGUUUUUGGGACGAGAACCUGCAAGUUGGUGGAAAAAUCAAACUCAGUUUAUGCCCCCUGAGAUGGCAGUUGAUUGGGAAGUAUUCAAGGAACAUUUUAAGAAAAGAUUUGUCCCUCUAGAGUACAUUGAUCGCAAGAAGCAGGAGUUCACUCGAUUGAAGCAAAAGAAUAUGUCAGCACAUGAGUAUUACAGGAAGUUUAUAGACUUGUCUCGUUAUGAUCCUGAUACAGCUGGUAAUCAGGUAGAGAUGCUUCGCCGUUUUAAGCUGGGAACUAAGAGGAAAUGGCGGACUUUUGCUAGUGCACUUCCUUGCAAUGAUUAUCACGAGUUUUUCAAGAUCUUGGUUCGGAUGGAGGAUUCUGACAACCUUCCUAGUGACAGUGAGGAUGAUAAGGACAAGAAUGAUGGUUAGAAGAAAGAUGAUAAGGGCAAGGGUAUCUCCUCUCAGAAACCCCGUAAGACACAGAAUUUUAAGAAAAGUGGAGCGAGUUCGAGUUCUUCCAGUGGAGGAUUCAGUGUCACAGGCCCGAGAAGAGGUGGAAGAUUUGCUGGCGGGCCCAGAUUUCAGAGACAGAGAGAUUUUAGUGGUGCUGGUGGUUCUGGUGCCGCCGUUGUAACUUCAGACAUCAUGGAGAGUGUAGGAGGAAUAGUGGGGCGUGCUACACUUGUGGACAAAUGGGACAUAGAGCGGCACAGUGUCCCCAGAGUCAGCAGAGGCCUCAGUAGCCUGUUAUGCCACCUCUAGCACCGACUCAGCAGAGCUUUGGUUCAGGCAGUUAUAGUCAGACGGGUCGUGGUGGUGCUUACCACUACCAAGGUGAUGCUACUCCUUAUGCUCUAGGACAAUAUCAGUAUUCCCUGGAUCCUUAUUCUCAGAGUGGAUAUUCCCAAGACCCUGGGGGUUAUCCUUCGUAUUCUUCUAUGCCAGCUAGUGGAUCUCAGUGGCACCAGGGAGAUCAGCCCCGACAAGGAGAGGUUGCUGCCAAUGGUGCAGCAUCAUCUAGGCAGUCUAAUCAGUCAUGGUAGGGACGUACUUCUCAGGGGUGAGGUAACCAAGGCAACAGAGGUCGUGGUGAACGACAACAAACUCAGGAACGUGUUAAUCACAUAUCACUGCAAAAUGCUCAAAACCAUCCAGAUUUGAUUAUGGGUACGUUAAAUAUUCUUGGUCAUUUUGCUAGAGUUUUGAUUGAUUGUGGUGCGACACAUUCUGUGAUUUCUCAUACGUUUGCUCAAAUGACUCAACCUCACCAUUCGCCUCUAGGAUUUGAUUUAGAGUUUGCCAUGCUUAGAGGGGAUAAAUGUUAUGUUGAUAGUGUCUAUCUUGGAUGUCCAGUGAUGGUAGAGGGUGUAGUUAUGCCAGCUAAUCUUAUCCCGUUAGAUAUUGUGGAUUUUGUGUGAUUCUAGGGGCAGAUUGGUUACAUUAUAAUCGUGCCCAUAUUGAUUGUUACGGGAAAUCUGUUACCUUUUAUCAUCCUGGAUUACCAGAGGUUACUUUUGUGGGUGAAAGAAGUGGGGUGAGACAUGAUGUUAUUUCUGCCAUGAGAGCAAAGAAGUUAUUAUCGAAGGGUUGUCAAGGAUACUUAGCCCAUGUGGUAUUAAAUGAUGUUGUUCCUAGCAUUGUAGAGGAAGUUGGAGUAGUCAGGCACUAUCCUAAUGUAUUUCCAGAUGAUUUACCGGGAUUACCGCCAGACAGAGAUGUGGAAUUUUCUAUUGAUUUGCUUCCAGGUACAGAUCCUGUAUCUUUAACUCCUUACAGAAUGGCUCCAGCUGAACUGAGAGAGUUGAAAAUUCAGUUACAAGAAUUACUUGAUAAAGGUUUCAUUCAACCUAGUACGUCACCUUGGGGAGCUCCAGUAUUAUUUGUAAGAAAGAGAGAUGGGACUCUGAGAUUAUGCAUCGAUUAUAGGUAAUUGAAUCGGGUGACAAUUAAAAAUCUUUAUCCAUUGCCUCGCAUCGAUGAUUUGUUUGAUCAGCUGAAAGGUGCGUGUGUGUUCUCAAAGAUUGAUUUGAGAUCUGGUUAUUAUCAGUUGAAGAUUAAAGAUGAAGAUGUACCUAAGAUGGCUUUCAGGACCUGUUACGGACAUUAUGAAUUUCUGGUUAUGCCAUUUGGAUUGACUAAUGCACCUGCAGCUUUCAUGAGGUUAAUGAAUGAAGUAUUCCAGCAAUAUCUUGAUAAAUUUGUUAUUGUUUUUAUCGAUGAUAUUCUGGUAUACUCUAAGUCUAAAGCAGACCAUAUUCGACAUCUUAACUUGGUAUUAAAGAAAUUGAGGGAGCACCAGUUGUAUGCCAAGUUCAGUAAAUGUCAGUUUUGGUUAAAUGAAGUGGCAUUUUUGGGGCAUGUAGUGUCGGCACAAGGAAUUCAAGUAGAUCCUCAAAAGAUAGCAGCAGUGGAAAAUUGGGAACAACCGCGAACCGUCACUGAGGUACGGAGUUUUCUUGGUCUAGCAGGUUAUUAUCGACGGUUUGUUCAAGAUUUUUCUAUGAUUGCUUUGCCAUUAACGAAGUUAACCAGAAAGGAUGUUAAGUUUGAGUGGGAUGAGAAUUGUGAGCAAAGUUUCCAGCAAUUGAAAUAUUGUCUCACUCAUGCUCCAGUAUUGGUACUUUCUGAUGAUAGUGGUAACUUUGAAAUUUACAGUGAUGCCUCUUUGAAUGGUUUGGGAUGUGUUUUGAUGCAGCAUAAUAGAGUGAUCGCCUAUGCCUCUCGACAGUUGAAGAUUCAUGAAAGGAAUUAUCCUACUCACGAUCUUGAAUUGGCAGCCAUUGUUUUUGCUUUGAAGAUUUGGAGGCAUUAUCUCUAUGGUGAGAAGCGUAAGAUCUUCACAGAUCAUAAGAGUCUUCAGUAUUUAUUUACUCAGCAUGAUCUUAAUCUUCGUCAACGAAUGUGGAUGGAAUUGCUAAGUGAUUAUGACUGCACUAUUGAGUAUCAUCCGGGUCACGCGAAUGUAGUAGCUGAUACACUGAGUAGGAAACCUCAAGGUCGCCUCUAUGCUUUGUAUGCUUGCCGUGUUCCUCUUCUUGCAGAACUGAGGGCUACUGGAGUAAAGUUGGAGUUAGAAGAUCAAAGAGAAACUUUUCUUGCCAGUUUCCAAGUCAAGCCAGUUUUGGUUGAUCGUGUACUUGAAGCUCAAAUGGUUGAUGAAGAAAUUCAAGAAAUGAUUCAAUUAAGAAAUGAAGGGAAAAAGAAAGACCUCAGAAUUCGAGAAUCAGAUGGCAUGCUUAUGCAGGAGAACAUAUAAUGUGUCGAUUAAUGAAAGGGCAUUAAAGAAAGAAAUUUGUACCAUGAAUUCGACCAUUUUCAACUUAUGCGAUGUAGAAAGGAAAUGCAAUAUGAUUGUACCAUACCAUUAAGAUUUUAUUAUUUGGGGGAAAGAAAAUUGCUGAAUAUGUAAGUAGUGGUAUUGUUUGUCAGCAAGUUAAAAGCUGAAAGAAAGAAGUUUUUGGGCGAAUGCAACCACUUCCUGUUCCUCAGUGGAAAUGGGAAAAUAUAACUAUGGAUUUCGUGUAUAAGCUCCCUCAUACACGAAAUGGAUAUUGAUGAUGGUGUCAAUUGUGGAUCGCUUACCAAGUCAGUUCAUUCCAGUGAGGGUAAAAGUAUCCCUAAAUAAAUUGGCUCAGUUGAAGUUCAUCACGAAGAUUGUGAAGUAUUAUGAAGUGAAUAUUAUUUCUGAUCGAGAUCCAAGAUUUACUUCUAAGUUAGCUUUUCAGGAAGCUUUAGUACGAAACUGCUUUACAGCUGCUUAUCAUUCUCAAACCGAUGGUUAAUCAGAAAUGACUAUUCGAGUUGGAUAUGUUCUUCAGUGUUACAGUUUGGUGAUUCUUGGCAUGACCGCCUAGACUUGAUGGAAUUUGCCUAUAAUAAUAGUUUUCAUUCGAGCAUUGGUAUGUCACCAUUUGAGGCACUUUAUGGUAGAGCUUGUCGUACACCAUUGUGUUGGUCAGAGGUUGGCGAAAGAGUGUUUCAAUCAAUGCUAGCAUAUAAGUCAGAGUCACCUAUAGUGACCUGUAUGACUCAUAGGCAACCUGUACGACAGUGUCAAAGUUGCCAAUAUAGCUCAUCUACCAAUUUCUACAUACAAGUUGGAACCACUUAAUGUGGUUUGUACGAUAGGCUAGGUGUAACUAAAUACGCUCAAGUGUUACAAUCACAUAAAGGCUGUGCGAAGUAUUGCAAGUCACCUACGAGUCGAAACCACCUAAUGUGGUCUGUACGACAGGUUGGCACCUACCUUGGAUCCAAAGUGAGCGUGUGGUGCGGGAGGUGACCGAUCGCGUGAACGCUAGGCCCUAUCCUCGAGCGAAGCACUAACAUUGAGGUGCAAGAUAAUGAGCAUUAAAUGCAUAAAAACAUAACCAUAUGCACUGAAAUCACUAUCAACAACAUGUACUCACCUGUAGCUUAUUUGGGCAACCGCAUCGUCAUUUGGCAUAACCACCUUAACGUCCCAACAUUUUUAAUUGGAACUAAACCCAGUGAUAGACCAGAAUAAAAUCAUGGUUAAUCUCUACGUUGUUAACCAUCAUAACUUCUUUCCUUAAAGAAAUCAAGUACCAUGUUAAAUUUGGAUUGUUUUAUGGCUGCAUCUAACUGUCUUGUUAAACUGCCUACGUACCCUCAAACGGGAUCAAGUCAUUCAUAGUUCAACUUAAUACUUCAAAGCAUUCACAGUAACUAUAUGCCGAUAAUAUGAAUAUAGAUAUACCAUAAUGCAAUCUAAAACUCAACCAUACCAUAAUAUUUUAACAUAUAUAUAUAUAUAUGUAUAUAACAUGGCAUAAUAUGCAUAGAACAAUUUAAAAACAUUUAUGAAAUUAUCAGUCAUAUCUAUAUACGAUAAAAGGAAAAGACCCACACACCUGAGGUCCGUGCUACGACUCCCUAGCACGAACAUCGAGAUGUCACGAACGAUCCUCACCUAGAAUAAUUAUUCAGUCAAGUCUCAGAACUCUUAUCGAUAGAACACAUAACCUACAUAAAACACAUCUCAAGGACAUUCUAGAAUGAUUUGAGACCCAUUGACCAAAAGUCAACCGUCGGUCAAAGAUCAAUGGUAGGGUCCUCAACCCUACAUAAUUAAAUCCGGAUGAUCUGCAUCUCAAAUUUCUGAUUCGUAACUUCUAAAGAUCGACAUUAUACUUCUAGGACAUCAUACUAAAGUUUCAUUACAAUCCAACGGUUGGAUCUCCGCCAAUUGCCAAUUCAAGUGGCGGUCAACAUUUUAUUUUACGAAUUUUCAAAUCUACUUCGGGAAGAUCCGUAUGUCAAAUUCCCAAUCCGUAAGUUUCUAAUAUCCUAAAUAUUACAUACUAUAAUGUACUAAAGUUUGGUGACGAUCCAACACUCGAAUCGUUAAUUCACAUAAUGAUCAAGUAGCGGUCUUUAUCGAAACUAUGUUCAAACGAUGAGAUUUCAACAAUCGGACUACACAUAUGGAAAAUGGGGUGUCAAACUUAGCUUAGGGAGGUCAGGGGGUGACUCGGCUCACACGCCACCGCACACGGCGGUCGGUUGCCCCGAUUCGUCGGAAAAUUCAACUAUCUCAAAAAAUUCUUAGAUUUUACAGAAAUGAAGAUCUCAAAAAGUAGAGCAAAUUGUAUACUUGUGGCCAAGUCCAAUUUGGCCAGGAAAAGCUCCAAUUUCACUCAAACCCACCGGAACCCUAAACUUUGGGUGUUCUUGAUUCGUCUUCAAAUCAACUCCGACGCUCCAACCACCGAUUGGGCAUUUUUCUAGGCAUCAAGGGAAGUCUAAUGAUAGUGAUAAUUGAAAGAAAACAUUUUAGAAUUGGUGGAUUAGAAUUAAGAUGUUUCUCCACCAGUCAAUUUUGGCUAGAAUAGAUGAAUGUGAUGAGGUUUGGUGAUGGUGAAUGGGUGAAAAUUGCCUGAAAAAUGGGUGAGAAUCGUUGAAAAUUGCUUCUAACCCAGUGGCACCGCCUGUCGGGUACGUGGGUAUACGGGUGAAAGGUAUGGAGGUCUGGGUUGGGUGCCACUCAUCUCUCUCCUUUCCCUCCUUGAUCUCUCCCUGAUUCGUCCCUCACUUCUCCAUCUGCUUCGAUUGGUCCUUCUCCUUACUUCCAGGUUGGGCAGCCAAUGCCCAUUCUUCUUUCUCCUUUGUUUCUCUUCCUCCCCGAUUCAUUUCUUUCCCCCACUUAGCCACACACAUGUGGCCGAAUAAUUUAAUAGUAUAAAAUAAUAUAAUAUAAUUAAAAUAGUUAUUUCUUCAAAAUACUUUCGGGUUCGUAGCUCCAUAAAACUUUAACCGUAACUCCAAAUUCAUUUUUGCUUGCUCUUACGCAUUCGUAUCGUCGAGUACUUCAGGAACACGCUAAAAACAAUUAGUACGUCUCACUAUACGUUGGUCAACGAAAGUCAAAACCUUCACCUCUAGGGCAUUUUCAUAAAUUCACACUUUUAAAAUUCAUAAAAUCAUAGAACUAGGGACAGGUUGUCACAUUACCAAUGAAUACUAUGCAGUGUUUCCUUCUUCCAAAAUCUUUUUGUGAGGAAUUGAAUAUGAUGAUAGCCAAGUUUUGGUGGAGCGGAGAACCUGGGAAACGCAAAAUUCAUUGGGUGAACUAGCGAACCUUAAGUAAAUCAAAAGAACCUUAUGUAUAAUUAACAUAACAUUGUUAUUCUUGCGAAAGAGGCGUGAAGAUUUAUCAUGCAGCCUCAUUCGUUAGCUUUCACUCUUUUCAAAGCACGGUAUUUUCCUUCCAUAGAUUUCUUGAAUGCAUCGGUGAAGACAAACGCAUCAUUUGUAUGUUGUAGUAUUGCAGCCACUCAUCCAGUGAUCUUGAAAGGUCUACGUUGGCAAGUGGGAGAUGGUUCGUGUAUAAAAAUUUGGGGCGAUAAUUUGUUGUCGAGAGAGAAUUAUUUCAAAGUUUUCACUCCCCCUUCGUUGCCGCAACUACUUGAGGCCACGGUGGAGAGUUUGUUUUUGGAUGGGACAUGAACUUGGAACAAAAACCUGCUUCAUCGAUUGUUUAGCUUAGAAGAAGUGGAAGUUAUUCAGAGCAUUUCUCUCAGUAUUCGACGUAUGUUUGAUAGACAAGUUUGGCAUUAUGAACGAAUUGGUAUUUUCUCAAUGAAGAGUGUUUAUUACUUGGCAAAAAAAGAGGUGGAUGCUAGAACGUCGAGUUUGAAUUCUCAAGAUUCGUUAAUCUGGAAGAGACUAUGGUAUGCUUGUGUUCAUGGUAAGGUAAAAAUAUGUGUUUGGAAGGGGUGCUUGGAUUCUUUACCUACUAGAACAAAAUUUGCUAGAAAACGUAUUGUCAAGGAAACAGAGUGUUUAUUUUGCUCUGGGCAUCCAGAAAAUCAUCGAGCAUGUGUUGAGAGAUUGCUCGAUGGCUCGGGCAAUAUGGUUCGCAAGUUUAGGCAUUAAAGGCCGAAAUAAUUCAUUAGUAUGUUUCAAAGAUUGGGUAACUAAACUUGUUCAUGAUUCAUCCAAGUUGACUUUUGACUUGGUGUUGACAACUAUUUGGAGUAUUUGGAGAGCUCGCAAUGAUAUUUUGUGGAAAGGUACAAUCUCUCAUCCGCGUGAUGUGGCUUUAAGAACCGAGGAAUAGAUGCUUGCUUUUAGGCACUAUCACUCCCCUAGCAAAAUGGUAUCGAUGCAAACCAUACAAAAGUGGUCUCCUAUUGACACAUGUUGCUUAAAGUGUAACUUUGACGACGCUUGGGAUGAUAGAUCGAGGAAAUGUGGCAUUUGAGUGAUUAUUCGCAACUGUAGUGCUGAAUUUUUGGCGGGCCUCACGGCUGUUGAGGAAGAUGUCGGUUUGGCGCUACAAGCAGAGCUCUUAGCAGCUCAGCGAGCCUUGCAAUUUGCUUAUGAAAUAGUUUCAUGCAGCUCAUGGAUCUCUUUUAAAAGGGAUUCCAGCUUGACCCUUGUAGCAAUGAAUAGGGAGGGCGAAGAUCACUCCAUUUUGGGUCCUAUCAUCAAUGAUAAUCGUAUUCUUCUGCGUAGUUUUGUUCAUACAACGACAAGCUUCAUUCGAUGUGAGGGGAACAAUGCUGCCCAUCGUUUGGCUUGGGCAGGUUUACGAGGAACAUGAGAGUUGAUCUGGGCUAAGAACCAUCCUGAUAUGCUUGCUAAUGUCCUAAUUGAUGAGAGUUCUCAUCGCAACCUUAGUUGAUGUUGAUGUAAUUUUAAUGGUUUCUAAGGAUAGCUAACUAUAAUUAAGUUGUUUGGUGUGGGACAAUAUUUUUCCUUUGACCGGGUUGAAAUUCCCAACAAGGUUUUUUAUCGAUGCCCUUUUAUGCACACUAUCCUUUGCAUUGUACGUUUUCUCAUCUUUAAUGAAUAUUGUACUUCUUAAAAAAAAAGCAUAAAUUUAAAGUCAAAUUAAGCUUAGGAAUUUUUCAAUAAUUUCAAAUAAUGGCAUAUUAUUUGAACUCCAUUAAAUAUGGUAUUUAUUGUGAUACAGUAGUUUAUCAAUGUGUGACAAGGACAUAAUAACAGUAAUAAUUUUAUGAGGUAUGUAAACAUGGAUCAUGUUUGUAAUUAUGCAUUGAAUUUGUUAAAAUACAUUAAUAUUUACAUUAUUAGGACAAAAUGAUCUAAAAAGUUAAGGAAAAAUUAUAAGAAACACGCAUAGCUGAAUGGUUUACAACUACCAACUUAAGAUUAGUGAACCUUCUAAGAAGUCUUAUUAAUUCGAUAUUUAGAGAAGUAAUUUGAAGAAUUAAGCGUAAUUUGCAAAAAUAUCUUCCUUAAAACAUGUUUUUUUCUUCAAGUCAUUAAGAGUAUGUUUGGUACUCUAUUUGAAUCCAAUUUUUUAAACUCAAAAACAAUUUUCAAGUUUUAGGCCUUAAAAACUUGUUUAGUAGGACUAUUUUAAAAAACUGAACUCAAGACUAACUCAAAAAUAUAGUCUAUUAUCUAAAAACAUAAAAAGUGAGUUUUUAGAGUUUUUAAACUUAAACUCACUCAUUUCUUUUCUUUCCCUCCUCCACUCUCACUCCAAAUCUAUCUCUCUUUUCUUCUUUCUCUCCUAUCUUUUUUUUACCUUUUUGUCUCUCCUUCAAUCCGCUCUCUUCAUUCUCUUGGUUAUUUCUCUCUCCUCUUCCUCUCUAUCUCGUCCGAUCCUCUCUCUUAUUUCUCUUUCCUUCAAUCAUCUCUUACUUUAUUUCCUCAUCUCUCUUCUUUUUCUCUCUCUCAUGUGACCCCCUCUUUUUAGAUCUAUUUGUUUAGUUUAAGUUGUAAGAUUUAAAAAAUUAAAUUGCAAACCAAUCAAGUUUUUGAAUCUUAAAAGAAAAUUGUUUUCAAGAAAUCUUCUUAAGAAAUGUUUUGAGAAAUGAUAAAAUUUUUCAAAUAGGAUACCAAACAGACCCUAAACUUUCUCCUAAUUUUAUGGCUGAAAUUUUGAACUCUUCUAGAGGACAUAAAUUUUUGAGUGUGCUUGAAUUAGAGAGUGGUACAUCACGUUUCACUAUAUAAAUGGUGAAAUAGUGUUAAAAAUUUAACAACUUAAAACUUAAAACUUUUCUACACUUAUAUAACGUAGUACAUAUUUGUGUUCCGUGCACAAAAGAAAAUUUCUUUCAAAGAGGGACUUUAGCUGCCAAUAGUAACGCACAUCAUUUAUUUCAUCUUUGACAAAAAAAAAAUCAAUUAUUGUUAUAAAUAGGCAAAAUUUAUAGAGAGAUAACCUUUACUCGGUGAAGGAACGAAUCAGUUGCAGAGUAAUAUACCGACACAAGCUGUUGCAGAGGAAGUAAUGUAUAUUAUUGCUAUUAGAUAUAUUUCUCUUUUCUUUCUUCUUCUCAUUCACUACCCUUUGCACAAUUGAAGUGCUCUAUUUAUAGAGCUACUUCAAUGGAAAAUUACAAAACAUUACUAUUUAGCUUAUGAGUAUAUAGUAUACACAUGUGAUACUUUACUAUACACAUUACUAUACACAUGUGGGCAAACAUACCCAUUAUUUACAACACUCCCCCUUAGAUGCCCACAUAUCAACAUCAGUUGCCUCAUUAAAACCUUGCUUGGAAAAACCCUGUGGGAAAAAACCAUAGCGAAGGAAAAAGAGUACAACUAUACCCGGAUGGUGUUGAGCAUGCUUAGGUUGCCUCGUUAAAACCUUGAUAGGAAAAACCCAGUGGGAAAAAUCCUAAGCGAAGGAAAAAGAGUACAACAUGCAUGUAUCAUGGAUGCUCCCCUGAAUUGUAUCUCCCCCUGAUUCCGCAUUCUUCAAAUAUGUAAGCCGACGUAAUCCGAUUCCCUGUACCAACUUCUGAAAUGUGCACUUUGGUAGAGAUUUGGUGAACAAGUCUGCUAAAUUUUCAUUAGAACGGAUUUGUCUGACUUCAAUAACUUUAGCCUUCUGAAGCUCAUGUGCGCUGAAAAAUCUUGGAGAUAUGUGUUUAGUCUUAUCACCUUUGAUAAAUCCUUCCUUCUUCUGGGUGACACAGGCUGCAUUAUCUUCAUGGAUGACAGUUGGAGCGUCUGUCUUUGAAGGUAGACCACAUGAAUUCCGGAUGUGAUGGAUCAUUAAUCUUAACCAAGAACAUUCACGACUUGCUUCAUGUAAAGCAAUUAUUUCCGAAUGAUUGGAAGAUGUUGCAACUAGCGUUUGCUUUGUUGAUCGCCAUGAAAUUGCAGUAUCUCCAUUAGUGAACACAUAUCCAUUUUGUGAGCGGGCUUUAUGCGGAUCGGAGAGAAAACCAGCAUCUGCGUAUCCAACAAGGAUUUGUUCAUUUGUGGGCUUGUCUGAGUAUAAGAGACCUAUAUCUGUUGUCCCACGAAGGUAUCGUAGAACAUCUUUGACUCCCUUCCAAUGACGAAUUGUUGGAGCAGAGCUAUACCUGGCUAACAAGUUAACUGAAAAAACUAUAUCUGGUCUAGUACAUUGUGCUAAAUACAAUAAAGCACCUAUUGCGCUCAAAUAUGGUACUUCUGGACCAAGGACCAGUUCAUCAUCUUCUUUUGGACGAAAUGGAUCUUUCUUAAUGUCCAAAGAACGAAUGACCAUUGGGGUGCUAAGUGGAUAAGCCUUGUCCAUGCCAAAUCGCUUCAGUAUUUUUUCAAUGUAAGCUGAUUGAUGGACCAAAUUCCACUAACACAAUGCUCAAUCUGCAGGCCUAGACAAUAUUUGGUUUUCCCAAGGUCUUUCAUUUCAAAUUCGCUUUUCAGAUAUUCAGCAGUUUUGUUGAGCUCUUCAGGGGUUCCAACUAGGUUCAUAUCAUCAACAUAUACUGCCACUAUAGCAAAUCCAGUAUUUGAUUUCUUAAUGAACACACAAGGGCAGAUGACAUUGUUGGCAUAUCCUUCUUUAAUCAAAUACUCACUGAGACGAUUAUACCACAUUCGCCCAGAUUGUUUUAGCCCAUAUAGUGAUCGCCUUAAUUUGAUUGAGAACAUACCCCGUGGUUUGUUAGUUGCUUCAGGCAACUUAAGUCCUUCUGGGACUUUCAUAUAUAUGUCAGUAUCUAAUUCUCCAUAUAGAUACGCGGUGAUGACAUCCAUAAGUCGCAUGUCAAGUUUUUCUGAAAUCACCAAACUUAUUAAGUAACGGAACAUAAUUGUGUCCAUUACAGGAGAGUAUGUCUCUUCAUAAUCAACUCCAGGUCUUUGUGAAAAACCUUGUGCAACGAGUCGUGCUUUAUAUCUUGCAAUCUCGUUUUUCUCAUUGCGUUUCCUUGUGAACACCCAUUUGUAACCUACGGGGUUUACAUCAGUUGGGGUUUGGACUACUGGUCCAAAAACACUUCGCCUUUCCAAGGAAUUUAAUUCUGCCUGGAUUGCAUCUUUCCACUUAGGCCAAUCUUGUCUCUGUUUGCAUUCAUCAACAGAGCGGGGCUCAAUAUCAUCACUUAAUAUAAUUUCAGUGGCUAUUGCAAAUGCAAACAUGUCAUCGAUGAUUAUUUCAUUUCGAUCCCACAAUUCAUUAGUACAUGCAUAAUUUAUGGAUAUUUCUUUGCUUUCAUGUACUUCUGUCUCUUCAGGGACAUGUGUCUCAUCAAGGACAUUUUCUUUUUCUGGAAGUACAGAGUCACGAAUUGUGGAUUUAUCAUUCAAUUCCUUUUCUUGAAUGAUAUCAUUUGGGUUCAAUUGGGCCCUCAUCUUUCUCUUUCGAGGGGCUGAAUCUUUUGAACCUAGGGGUCUACCACGCUUCAGGCGUGCAUUGGAUGAAUCAUUCGCUGCCACUUUAUUUUGUCCAACAGGGACAUCAAUUCUUGCAGGUGCGUUUGCAGCCGGUAUAUAUGACUGUGUCACUUUCGAAGCAUCAUUAAAUGCAUCUGGCAUUUGAUUAGCAAUACCUUGAAGAUGAACGAUCAUUUUUACUUCAUUUUCACAUUGAGUGCUUCUUGGAUCAAAAUGAGAUAAGGUGGGAACAACUCAUGUUAGCUCUUGUCGUUCUUCUGGAACGGUCUUUUCUCCCCCUAACGACGGGAAAACUAUCUCAUCAAAAUGACAAUCAGCAAAACGAGCUGUAAACACAUCACCAGUCAAAGGUUCCAAAUAUCUAAUGAUAGAUGGUGAAUCAAAACCCACAUAAAUUCCCAAUCUGCGCUGAGGUCCCAUUUUAGUUCGUUGUGGUGGUGCAAUAGGCACAUAAACAGCACAACCAAAAACUCGUAAAUGUGAAAUAUUUGGCUGAUGUCCAAACACGAGUUGUAUUGAUGAGUAUUGGUGGUUGGUUAUGGGUCUCAAUCUAACCAAUGAUGCAACAUGUAAUAUGGCAUGUCCCCAUGUAGAAACUGGCAAUUUUGUUUUCAUGAGCAGAGUGCGGGCUAUUAAUUGAAGCCGCUUGAUAAAUGCCUCUGCUAAACCAUUUUAAGUAUGGACAUGAGGAACAGGGUGUUCAACAUUAAUGCCCAGUGCCAUACAGUAAUCAUCAAAGGUUUGAGACGUAAAUUCACCAGCGUUAUCAAGUCGAAUGGACUUAAUGGGAUGAUCUGGGAACUGUGCUCGCAACUUAAUUAUCUGAGCAAGAAGUCUCGCAAAAGCUACAUUUCGAGUAGACAAUAGGCAAACAUGUGACCAUCGGGUAGAUGCAUCAACCAAAACCAUAAAAUAUCGAAAUGGUCCACAAGGUGGUUGAAUAGGUCCACAAAUAUCCCCUUGAAUUCUUUGCAAAAAUGAUGGGGAUUCAUCAUCAACCUUUAGUUGUUGUGAUGGUCUAAUUACCAACUUCCCUUGGGAACAAGCCUUGCAAGGAUUAUCAUUCGAGACAUUAAUGUGUAUGCUCAGUAAUGGAUGUCCAUUAGAGUUGGUAAUGAUUCUACGCAUCAUGGUAGAUCCUGGAUGACCUAGACGGUCAUGCCAAAAGCAUAUAAACUUUUGAAUCAAUGAACUUCUGGUUCAUGACAGUAUAAUGCCUCAACUGUCUUUAUGUAUGUACAAUACAAUCCACUCGAUAAAACCAUGCAACUUCUCCAAUAUACGCUUCUGGGUAUCGUUGGAGUAAUGCAUAAAUAUUCCACAUUUUCUACACUUUUCGUUUCAAGGUGGUAUCCAUUUAGACGUAUGUCUUUAAAACUCAACAAAUUUCGAAUGGACCGAGUAGCAUAUAAUGCAUUCUUUAUAGACAAUAUUGUUCCAUUUGGUAACAUAAUCUGGGCUUUUCCUGAGCCUUCAAUUACAUCUGAUGGUCCUGAUAUUGUUGUUACCUUUACUUUUGCAAGUACCAAAUUCGAGAAAUACUUUCGGUCUCGAAGUAUUGAAUGCGUGGUUGCGCUAUCCGCAAGACAAAAGUCUCCGCCAUUGAUCUUGUUUUGAGAACAACCAUAAUUUUUAUCCAUGAUCUCUGAGUAAAGAAAAAGCAGUUUAUUCGUACUGGAAUACUACUUUUAUUGAAUUGAAAAUGCGAGCAUUAAACCACAGGUACAAAUAACAUGAGUACAUUAAACAUAAAUAAUUCAAUCGGACCCAUAAACUUCAUUCCCUCUUUCAUUAAUAAAGUCUGUAGCAUCCAGGUGGGUUGUGUUUAACUGUCCUGAUAAAUUGGUCACUGGAUCAGGGGUUUCCAUUGGUUUAGCCUGGUCAAGGAAAUUGAUCUCGACACCCUUUUCCUUGAAGGAGGCUUGAUAUAGUUCUACUAGAUACUUUGGGGUGCGACAAGUACGCGCCCAAUGUCCGUUGCCACCACACCUAUGGCAACCUCCUUCAUGACUUCUAGGAGUGUUCACAUGAGCUUUUCCUUUCUGGCGAUUGGUAUUUUUAAAGCUCGGGCCUGGAUUAUACCUUGGAACCUGGUUGUGAAACUGGACACCAUGGUUCUUGCUUUUCCCUUUCCACCGACCUUGCUUGUGGCCACGUCCUCGUUUGUAAUUAUUGCCACGGGAGGAUAUGGUAUUUCUUUCAAUGGAAGCAACAUUCACUUCUGGGAACGGUGCUGAUCCAGUAGGUCGGGAAUUACGGUUUUUCAUGAGAAGCUCAUUGUUCUGUUCAGCUACCAGGAGCACAGAUAUAAGCUGGUUGUAUUCAGUGAAGCCUCGCGCUCUAUACUGUUGUUGCAGUACCAUGUUAGAGGCGUGGAAUGUGCUGAAAGUCUUUUCCAAUAACAUCUCCUCAGUGAUAGUAUCCCCACAGAGUUUCAUCUGAGAGGUAAUUCUGAACAACGCCGAAUUGUACUCAGCCACUGAUUUGAAAUCUUGGAUCCUCAGGUGUGUCCAGUCAUAGCGAGCUUUUGGAAGAAUCACCGUUGUCUGGUGAUUGUAUCUGCUUCUCAAGGCAUUCCAAAGGGCUAACGGAUCUUCAACCGUUAAGUACUCGCUCUUUAGUGCCUCAUCAAGAUGGCGACGAAUAAAAAUCAUGGUCUUUGCCCGAUCUUGAGAGGAUGAGCUGCUUUCUUCCUUGAUGGUAUCUCCAAGAUUUGCUGCUUCCAGAUGGAUCUUGGUAUCCAGUACCCAUGUAAGGUAAUUCUUUCCAGUAAUGUCCAGGGCAGCAAAAUCAAGCUUUGCCAAGUUUGCCAUUUUCUUUUCUGAAAGAAAAAUGAGGUGUGUAAGAACUUGCAAUAAUAUGUGUACUGGAGAAAUAUAUUGUUAGAACUUCUGGUUUUUACAAAUUUUUGAUCUUCAGGCCAAAAUGAUAAGUACUCGAAACUUCAGGCUCGAGAUUUACACAAUUAAUGAGAAGGGCAAUUGUACCGCUCCAUUCUCAUCGAAAUAAGUAUAGGAUGGGUGAUUAUUUCGCACUACUUUAAACAGCAAGAAAAUUUAAAUAUGUAGAGCAAGGUGGACGAUUAUACCGCACCACCUAAAAUUGCGAUAAAAUUUAAAUAUGCAAAGCAGGGUGGACGAUUAUACCGCACCACCUAAAAUUGCGAUAAAAUUUAAAUAUGCAAACCAGGGUGGACGAUUAUACCGCACCACCUAAAAUUGCGAUAAAAUUAAAUAUGUAAAGCAGGGUGGGUGAUUAUUUCACACCACCUACAAUUGCGAUAAAAUUAAAUAACGGGAAAAUUUAAAUAUGCAGGAUAGAGCGGGCGAUUAUACCGCUCCACUUAAAAUUUGCAGUAAAAUUAGAUCUGCAAUCCAAGAUAGGCGAUAGAACCGCACAAUCUUGGAUUGCAUAAAUAAUCAGUGGGUUAGUAGUCAAUAUCUACACCAAACAAGAAAUCAAAGAUAUAAGUGACUCUUAGUUGGAGAACUAGAAGUAAACAUGGUGCAAACAGUUCUUCGCGAGGGUAUACCCAGCAAUUGAGGGAGAGGAAGAAGAAGAACAGUAAAAACCUUAAAGGAAACAUUUUUUUUUUUCUUUCGGUGAAAGGAAAUGAGAAAUGAUUAGAGAGUCGUGCUGAUAACGUGUUAUAAAUAGGCAAAAUUUAUAGAGAGAUAACCUUUACUCGGUGAAGGAACGAAUCAGUUGCAGAGUAAUAUACCGACACAAGCUGUUGCAGAGGAAGUAAUGUAUAUUAUUGCUAUUAGAUAUAUUUCUCUUUUCUUUCUUCUUCUCAUUCACUACCCUUUGCACAAUUGAAGUGCUCUAUUUAUAGAGCUAUUUCAAUGGAAAAUUACAAAACAUUACUAUUUAGCUUAUGAGUAUAUAGUAUACACAUGUGAUACUUUACUAUACACAUUACUAUACACAUGUGGACAAACAUACCCAUUAUUUACAACAAUUAUUUCAUUUUUCAGAAUAUUUGCAAAAAGGGACAGUUAUUAAUUAUCGUAACAAAAAGACAAGAUCAAAACGCACCUGAGCUUGUCGUAUGACACACUUUGUAAAUUCAGAAAAAUAAAUAAAUAAAAUAAAAAAAGGAGCACCUGAUAGCAGUACCACGGUACCAUCGCCGGCAUUGCACAAACUUCCCACUGGGUACACGCAUAUAUAUAAACGUUCACACGCCUGCUGCUUCUGGCUUCCAAAUAAGAUAUUCCCCAUUUGGUCCUUUCAAACCGCUCGCCUCUCUCUCUCUCUCUCUCUCUCUCUCUCUCUCUCUCUUUCUCUAUCCUCCCCCUCUCUCUCGCUCCGAGGGUUUGAGCUUGCAAAUCCUAAUUUGACCAACUUCUAUGGCAGUGCUCGGGCGCCGAUCACACUCCGUUUGCGCAUUCUUCAGGUCGUGAUCUCCGGCUGAUCGUGUCCGAUAAGCGGCGGUUCGUUUCGCC
rnacentral:lncRNA from 1 species